rnacentral:lncRNA from 1 species
CCGAAGUAGCCGCUCGUCCUCAUCAGCACUGUCUUCGGAACCACCGUGUUAGGUUUUCUUUGUUAGCCGUAAUGAGAAGCUCUUAAAGUUCGCUUGGGCGAUGACUACGAUGAAAUCGCUAUCAGAAAGCUAGUUCAAAACUAAGGCCCUUCCCCGUCAAAGUCCACUAUCAACUAUUGAAAAAAUAUUAUUUACAAAUUGCAAUAUCAUUAUCUUAUAAUAAUUCAUAAAAAAAUAAAUUUAGAAGUUUGAAAAGAUCUUGUCUAGAUCGAGAAGUGUAAAUAAUAAUAUUCUAAAAACAUGAUUCAUCUCUAGGUGCGGGUCUACAACAAUCUGGAUCAGCCCGAUCCUCUUGACUGAUCCUUUAAGAUUAUCAGAAAUAAAAAAGAUACAAAGUAUAAAGUUGAAAGAUGAAAAAAUUCUCUAGAAAAACUUUUCGAAAGGCAAAGAAGUAGUGAGAAAAAGAGAGAUCGAAUUAUUUUUGAAUUAAUUCCGGAAGAAAAACCGAAGUAAUAUUUUGGAAAUACUAUAUUUUUUUCGGGAACUAACAUUUUUUUUAAGAGUUCUAGUUCUUCUGAAAAACGCAUCUCACAAAAAAAUAUUUUAAAAUAUUUAAAACAACUAAAAUUUAGAAGAUAAGAAAAUUUAAUUUUUUAAAAAUUAAAACUCCAACAUCAAUUUUAUUAAAGGUUUGAUUUGAAUGUUAGGUUCAGCUGCACUAAGUGCCACUGCAGAGAUUCACUUAUAAUGUUGCAACAAAAUUACGUUAUCCUAGGCUUUUAAAAAGUAAUUAUAUUAUUUCGCCUAUGCUAAACCUUUUCUGAGUGUUUCAAUGUUUUAAGUCAUAAAACACGUAGGGUCCUUGGUUAUCCAUGAAAUGAGUGCACAAGUGAUUGCGUAACACACAAAUCUCAUGUCUAGAUUUCCUAUUGCACAUUUCAACUGGCAACCCAAAUCUUAUUUGGCAUAAUAUAUACGCGAGAAAAUAGACACGGAGAUAGUAGCCCUUUUUCUGCAUGAUUUCCGUAUUACUCGGUAAUUUUUUAGCUAAACAUGAAUUACUAAAAAAAAAGGAAGCGAUGCAUACGAAGGACAACUAAUGACACAUUAUGUAGUGGUUUAAUAUCUCAUGUACUUCAAGAUGAGAUGUGUGGUGAACCUCCUCCUUAAUCAUCGUAUUUUAAUGAAGGCAAAGCCUAUCAAUCCCAGAUAACAAGCAAUAAUUCGCACAAAAUCAUAAUCAUUUAUUGAUUCAAAAAUGUGACUGCUGAAGUGCCAUUAUCUUUUUUUUUUAUAUCACCACAUCAUUACAUUAGCGAGAAGCAAAGCAAUGCAAAUAUCACCACUUAUUUCGUUUUAUCUCAUCGACUGGUUUCAAGGACAUUUUCCAUGACAUAAAAAGAGAAUAUGCAUGGGAAUGAUGCUGAUCAGGAUGAAUGAUAUUUCUAAAAGUUAACCAAAAAGAUAUUCUCCUGACAAUGAUAAGGGGAUUCCCACUAUAUCCAUUUCAAAAGAUUACUUAGAGAUCUGAUGGCAUAUUUUCUUACAUGGUUGGUGUCAUAUCACAAACUUUUUUUUUUUGGUGAAACAUGGGGAUGAUGAUGCUGAUAACUCUUUCUAAAAGCAAACCAAAAAAAGAUUAUUCUCCUGACAAUGACCAGGAGAUUCGCAAUAUCUACUUCCUCGAAAAAGCUCUCACUCACUUGUUGAUAAAGCCCGAAGAACCCCAGUGAAAGCCAAGUAAAGGCGCUGGAAAAAACGAAAAAGCUCGAAAAGUCUCGACCAAAGCUCUCCACUUGGUGCAGUACCCGCGAACAAACGUCUUUCCUCCCCCUUUCCUCUCUUUUUACCUCGUCCCCCGAAAUUAGGGUUAGGGUUUCGGAUUCCCCACCCUCCUCUCCCUCCGCCGACGACUCCAACGAAUUUAAUUCGAUCGAGAUGGGGUCCCUUUGCUCUCGUCAAUCACCGCUCUCCCCCGUCCUUCGCCCCCUCUUCCUCCCUUCUUCCUCGCACCUUCGCCAGUACGAGUAUUCCCCGCGCACCUACCCCGCCGAUCCCUCCUUUUUCAAAGAUUUUGUUGGAAUUUGGUAUAUUGGUCGGUAUUUCGUACAUUCGAUCGAAGCUCGCAGUGAGAGAAUCUCUGGUUUGGAUGGUUCCUCGUCCCGACCGAUUCCUUCGAUAAAAGAAAGUAUUUUAUUUAUUGGCAUUUGUUUUAAAAAAAGGAUCGGAAUCGUGGCUUUAUUAGGGGCUCCGACGAGACUUUUAUCCCCCGGUCGUGCUGCUGACGAUUCGAGGAAGCUUCGUAGCUGCUUCGCAGCAAGCUAUUGUCUUGUGAUUCCAUAUAUAGUAAUGAUUCGGACAUUUAAUUGAACCACAACGGUUGAGAGUGUCGGUUUUCGGGUUAGAAAGGGCUUUUGGGAGCUUGUGGAGCUGCCUUGCUCCCUUGAUUUCCUCGUGAUGGAUCGGAAGAGGGCCUAUCCGGAGGAAGGGGAGGACGACGGAGGAUCUCUUGUUAAGGAUACAAAGCGACGGCGAACCUUUCUUAAGUGAGUGAAUAGUUUGGGAGUUCUCUUAUCUUGUUUCUUUAUUACUAAGUGAUUGAUACUUGUUGUCUUAUGGGUUUUUUUUUUUUUGGCAGUUCAAUGAGAGAAGUAAUGGGGGCGAGUUAUAUACAGCGGCAUUUGCCAAAGUUGGAGCCUUUUCUUCGCAAAGUGGUAAGAUAAGUCCUGCUGUCAUUUUUGCAAUGCUUAGGAAUUCUACAGGAUCGGAAUCCUUUUCGAAAGUUCUUUUUAAGUAAGACUUUAUUAGGCUGUUAGCUGACUUCAGUUUGUGCGCAGAAUCAUCAUUGUAUUUAAUCCUUGUGUUGUUGUUCAAUUUCGUGUAGCUUCGUUUUGCCAUGUUGGCCCUUCUAGGUUAUCAGUGGAACCUCCCAGACCAUAUAAAUGUGGGCUACCUUGGCUGAUCCUUUCUACUUUGAGAAUGUUUGUUUUAAAACCCCCCACUUUUUUACCUCCCAGUAGCAAAGGUUGAUUCCUGCUUAAAGUAUUCAUGUUAUGUUCUAAUAUACUCCUCUGGUGACACCAUCUGUAUGAUGUAUUUAACAUCCAUAUGAGUUUGUGUCUCAUGGAUUCUUGCGAUUUCUGUACGGAUUUUUGAGGAUUUUUGAGGUGAUGCAAAUCCUUGGGAGCUUCCAAAGAGAGCUUGCCUUGCUUCUUUCAGGUUUUUGGGAACCAACAGUCCGCCCCACACCCUCCAGGGUUUCUUUCAUUUUGGUGUGGCACCAUAUUUAUCUUCCUUAUAUUUUUUUCAAAGUUAUUCCAUUUGACUUUCACUGUGAAACGUACCCAUUUGUAACAUGCUUUAGUUUUGGUUUCUUACAUGAGUAGAAGUGAUACUUGCAGCAUUUUAGAAUAAUUGAAACUAAAUACAGGUUUCUUUCACUUUUUCUAUUAUAACACAUAUGUAAUCGCAUUAAAGUUUGUUGUGAAAAAUGUAAAUAUUAAAUUAAUUACAAAUCUGGUAACUCUUAAAACAAGUGAAAAAUCAUGAAUUAUUAGCAUAUUGUCCAUGAUCUAUUCUCUCUCUCUCUCUCUCUCUCUCUCUCUCUCUNNNNNNNNNNNNNNNNNNNNCUCUCUCUCUCUCUCUCUCUCUCUCUCUCUCUCUCUCUCUCUUGUUGCCUAAUUUCUUUGAAAUCUUUCUUAAAACCUGUAUAUGUGGUUUGUUUUUCAAUUUCAAAUUUGUAACUUCCCUAAGAUUGUCUGAAAUUUCUACCGGAAUAUGUCUUCUUGCCAUUUUUUAAUUUAAAUUAUCAGAAGUAGUGAGGGGACCUACAUAUCAACCUUGUCGCUAGUAGUUCGUUACUUGCUUAUGUACUAUAAGCAAGUGUCCAUAACAUUGUUGAUUCAGGACUAAGAUUCAAAAAUCAGGCCUUGAUUGUGUUUCAGCUGGCCAUAUGAGCUUUGUUUUCUAUGAAUUUGCAUGAUUUUUUAUCCAGUUUAGGCCAAAAAUAACAAAUAGUUUAAACAAUAAAACAAGCAGGAAAAAAUAAGAGAAGUAUAAAGUUUUAAGAUAUGCUUUAUUGUUCAAACUGGUAUAAAUACGUCCAGUGGUUUAUGAGCUGAAACUAUGCACUAGUCAUUAGAAAAUGAAAAAAAUAGUUAUAUGCUCAUGCAUUACAUCAUAUUAGACUAUAUUAUAUAUAUUCUCUUGGUUGAGGACAAUCAUAUAUGAGACAUCCUAAACAUCAAUAUAAGAUUUGAGCACAGGCCUUGCAAUCUCAAGCUAAAAUCUUGCAUUUUCAUUUCUGAUAGGCUUGAUCUACUUCGCAACUUUCAGCUCAAACCUUGCUAAUUCUUUACCAUCUGGCUUUGUGUGAGGAUUAUAUUAUUUGGUUGGUCUCUAAUGCCUUCUGAACCAACAAUGGUGGUGUUAUGUAGAAUAGAGAUAAAAGAAAACCACCAACUUUCUUAGAAUGGAAAUAUCAAGGCAUUUGUUUAUUAUUAUUGUUGUAACAGUUCUCCAGGUAUUACUGCAAGUUUUUUUUUUGAUGUUGCCAAUCAUCUUUUGUUAGAGACUUCCAAGAGAUAUUAGUAUAUUAAAACUUAACUGACUGCCUCAAGCAACAAUGCUAAAGAAUAUAGCAAUCUUAAGGAUAUGCAGAAUCUAAGGGAAACCUUAUAUAUUAUAUUCUUAAGUGGUAAAUGAAGGCUAAGAACUGUAUUUAAUCCUGACAUACGGCUGCUUAGAACUCAAAGUAGUUGAGCAGAUCACACAACACACGCAAACUAAAAAAUGAAAAAAGAACUAAAAAGGAGUUUUGAGCACCGAACUAUGAUUAUGGGAGUAAACAUAGUUAAGCAGUAUAAUUAGCAUUUAUCUUCAUGAUAAUUUUGCGAGUUGAUAUUGUUAGUAUUUAUUAUUACUUAAAGCUAAUCCUUUGAGCUUCUGGCAUAUUGAAUUCUUUUUGUGGAAAAUCAGGUGCAAGAAGAGGUGCAAAAUGCUCUUUACCGAUAUGUACUCUUAGCUCCAAGGUAAAUUUUGAAAAUCCUUUUUGGGGUUUGAGGCUCGAGCACUGUAAACCCUUUCCCAGUUGCCCAAUUUUAUAUUUUGCGGUUAAAUCCAUCAGAUGGAUUCGUAUUGUUCAUGACAUCUGAUGCUUUGAAUCCAUGUGUGAAUAAUUAUGAUGUCAUGAAUAUGAUGCAUAAAGGUAAAUCCAUAUGUGAAUAAUUAUGUAUCCAUAAAACAUUUUUGUUUGGAAAAUAUUAGUUCUUUACUCUUUGUUUCCUUAUAUGAAAGGAAAAUUACUACAAACCCCACCCAUAUAGACAUAAAGAGGUAAAACUAGUUCGCCAGAGUAUUUGAAUAAUUGUUUUUAUAUGAAAGCUACUAUCUGACGCUGUAAACCUAUUAUUUUGAUGCUCGCCAUUUCCCAUGUCAUGCACGUGCAUGCAUAUUAACAUAAUUGUUGGUUAUACAUAUUGUGGUGCAGCAAAAAAUUGCUUGUUUGACAAAUUUUUAGGACUAAAUGCUUUUUAAGCCAUUUGGAUGUUCUAAUUUGUGUAUUUGUGUUGUGCGUGGUGUAGACUGCCCCUAAACCAGAUCCCACCCACUGCUAGCAGGCAAUAUCGGCUGCAUUUCCAAACUAGUGUGCCUGAAACACUGUUCACAGGAAGCAGAAUAGAAGCUGAAGGCAGAAAGCCUGUUGAAAUUGUCAUCAUCGAUUCUGAAUCAAAUGAGAUUAUCACAUCUGGCCCACUAUCUGCAAUCAAGAUUGACAUUCUUGUUCUUGAUGGUGAUUUUGGUGCUGAUGGAAAAGUGGAAUGGACCGAAAAGGAGUUUGGUGACAGUAUAGUACGUGAAAGGGAGGGUAAAAGACCAUUAUUGACAGGGGACCUGGUAAUUACUCUGAGCAGUGGAGUUGGUCAUCUUGGUGAUGUCACUUUCACUGACAACUCCAGUUGGAUAAGAAGCCGAAGGUUCAGGCUUGGUGCGAGGGUUUCUCAAAGCAGAUGCACUGAAAAAGCAAGAGUUCAAGAAGCAAUAAGUAUAGCUUUUUUGGUGAAGGAUCACCGUGGAGAAUGUAAGUCUUCUCCUGUCUAAGCUCAACUGUUUGAAAUUUUAUUUAGGAAAGUGAUUGAAGCUAAAUUUAUUUGAGUGACAAUGAGAGCAGACAAGAGCUUAUGUCGGCAUUAUAUGCCAACAAGCAACAUAAAUACCACGUGCCAUAAAAAUUCACCAUUGCAAAUUAUAUACUGGAGUAACACUGCUAUUAUAUGUACAUGCUGCAUCUGCAGUUCAGUUGAUAAGAUAGCUUUUGGACUGAUCGCAGAUAAGCUCUAAUAAAGCUUGAGCUUUUACAGAGGGUGUGCCAACGCUUGGUACGCCGAACCGGCUCUUGUACUGGGCGUACCAAUAUAGUAAUAGGGUGGCACCGGUAUGAAGGCCGGCUCCGAGACGGCAUACUAGAAUUCUUUGCUUGUUAUUCUAAUUGACUUUUGCUGCAGCUAUUUCUUAAGAAUAUAUUCUUAGCUGUACCAAAAUUUAUUCUUAUGAAUGAAGUAUCAGAAUAUUGAAUCUGGAAUACAUAUUAUAUAGAAUCUUUUGUGUCAUCAUUUUUUCUUAGUUUUAGCUGUCUAAACCUCAUCUGUUGAUUUUACAUCUGCAGAAUGCUUUGCGAUUUGAUUGUUUGCAGUUAUGCAUAUGAAUUAUAUUAUUUGGACCUUGUUGUUAUUUCCUUUUCUUGCCAUUCAUAAUCAGCUAUGGCAUGCCAAACACCUAAUUGCAUAUCUAGGUAUCAGGACUUGACAUUUGUCGUCAUUAGGUUGAUCAAAGAGGAUGGGAACUGAGAAAAUUUAAGUGAAACAUUUAUGUGGAUAUUAUCUGCCUAAUAUAUAUACCUUCUAGUAUAAUAUAUUUGUGCAACUGCUUGGUAUUGACUAUUGAGUCAUCUUCCCAAUAAUGUCAUGGUAUGCGCAUGCAUUAGAUUUUUGAAGGUUAUGUAUAGCUUUUUGUAUCGAAUAUGGAACUGCCGCUGCUAUUACCAUCUUGUCAUGCUCCGAUUUAUCAAAAAUUUAAAAGUUCCUUCUCUAUAAGUGCCAUAUGUGUAUGAUUGGGGUAAUAUUUUUUCUUUUUUAGCCUGAAAGUCCUUUCCUGUGAUCUGCUUAAAGACACAGAUAACCUUGAAACCAAUUUUAGAAAAUUAUUUAAUUGGAUGUAAAAUUAACGAUUGUUUAAGAUAGGUAUUCAUAUAAAACAUUUUGUUGGCAUGGCCCAGUUCUGGCAUAUCUUACAUAAAUUCGUGUUACUCUUCACUGUAUGCCAGUAGCAUAUGCUUUUAAGAGUUCUCUUUUGUCCUAAAAGAAAACUAAUUACAUUCAAAACUAAUUCUGUUCUAACUUUAUUCUAAUUUCAGUGUAUAAAAAGCAUCAUCCUCCUUUUUUGGGGGAUGAUGUGUGGCGUCUGGAAAAGAUAGGUAAAGAUGGUGUUUUCCAUAAAAAGCUUGCUGACAAUGGGAUCAACACUGUCCAAGACUUCUUAAGGAACUUGGUUAUGGAUCAAGACAGACUACGCAGUGUAAGAUAGCCAUAUUAAGUAGUUCUUUUGAGAGAUAUCCAUGCACAAAUUUAUAGUGCUAACGUUCUUUGCUUCCUUCCUGUAGUUCCUUGGUAGUGGGAUGUCAAACAAGAUGUGGGAUGCAACAAUUGAACAUGCUUGGGAUUGCGUUCUAGAUGACAAGAUUUACUCCUACUGCGAUGGACAGGGAAUCAUGCUUCUGUUCAACUCUGUAUAUCGGCCUGUAGGGGCAAUGCUUCACCAUAUUUUUUACCAGUUAGAUGAACUUCCUCCAACUCAUAAGGUAGAUUAUCAUGAUCCAGAAAAUUUAUGUUUUUGUCAAGCUAUUUACAUAAAUCUGCUAACAAUUUUUUUAACCAUUGUUGUCUGACCUUUUACUUUACGCAGCAUCUGUUUACUCCCCCUUAAUUCACUUAUGACAAACUUCCUUAAACCGGUGCUUGUGCCUUUUGGUCUUGUAUAUUGAAUUUACAUUACUAAUAUAUUCAGUUUUUCAUUUUGCAAUAUGGCUAUACUGCACUACUUAGUCCCGCAGUAUACGUUGGUUGGGGCCAACCUAUGCUGAUUAAUCGGUUUAAAGAAAUUCUCACAAAGAGACUCGACUGGCAAAACUUGAUCCUGCAUGUUUUAUGCAGCGGUCCUCAGCUUAUAGACCAAGUGAUGCAUCCAGGGAAACUUGAAAUGGCACUGUGCAGUGGAUACUAGUUCUUUCUCCAGCUUGUUGUGCCUUCUAUAAAUUUCUGCAUUCAUUUAAAAAUAAAUUUUCUUAUUUGUAUGCAGGCAGUGGUGAACAAAUUAAAACAAGAUGCGUAUAGAUUCCCAAACCAUAUACUCGAGUAUCGUGAACAACUGCUUGACAAUCGACCCAGACUGUUACCUACCGUUCCAGCGUCAAGCAUGUUGGACCCACAGAUUCGCAACCUCCCUGCCACAAAUCAAGGUAAGUGGAAUCAGAGCGCUUGAUGAGCCCGUCUCGUCCUUCACUCUUAGGCCUCCUUCAUAUUGUGGCCAUCCACUGAUGUCGUGACUUUUGACAGAUGAACCUUCUGAUCAAGUGUGCCUUCUGCAACGCGCUAGCUCACCAGGAAAUGAAUUCUUUGAAGAGCUAGCCCCAGGGAGAGACAUGUUUACUUCUGGGCAGUUCGCUCAUAUGGUUCAACGGCUGGAUUCCUUCCCACCAAAUAGUUUCGGCAUGAGGGAUUUCUGCGAUAUGCCGUGUGGCAAUUUCCAGAUAAGUGGGUCAGCCGGGCCUGCCGUAACAAGCGAGCACAUGAUGGGAUAUGCUCAAGAGGUUGGUACGUUGAGCUCUUCUCCCCGUCCCUUGCUUUGGGAUCAUAGUAAUUCCUUAAUUCAGACAUCAAUUGGCGAAACAAGUAGAAGCUGUGCACCUCGCAUGUCUGCUGUUGGUGCUCCCAUUACAUCAAGCAGAUGGAUCAAGCUAAUAGCAGCUCUGAAAUGGUUAGCAAUUUCGAGGCGCAGUGCUGCCAGAAGGGCACAGUCUCUGGAUAUCGAUUACCCGGCAGCAACUAUAGGUACAUGGAUUGAUGCACGCGGAAGAGGCUGGUGAGGUGGAGGGCGUCAUGGCAAGUUCAUGCAAAACACUUUCACGUUCGUCUUGAGAGCUUUGAACCAUGCUUGAGAUGGAGCCGAAACAGAGGAACUCAGUCUCUCUCCUGCAGAGGAACCUUUCUUAGAACUGUUUGUCAUGUGGCAGUAAAUUAAUUUAUUUAACUUGUUCAGUUUCUGUAUAUUGGAUAACCGUAGUGUAGGGGAGAAGUAGUUUUAGCUUGCGACUGUUCUUGGAUCUGCACAUAAGUUGUGUGUGUCAUUCAGUAUUUAUAUGUUCAACUGCUUUUAUUUGUCAGCACACUCUUGUUGGAGCUCUUUUCGCCUUUUUCCCGAGUUGUUCCUGCCUUCCUUGGACUCCACUUUGUUCUAUGCUUUGUCGGACUGCAAAUCAUAUGUAAAUAGGGAACGAACUGUGUCGUUUCAAGGGUCACCAUAGUUCUACGCCACCCCCCCCCCCCCUCCCACCGGGGUAGAGAGUCAUCAUGACUAGCGAAGAGAAUAGGAGGAAAUGGAGAAAUUUCUACGCCACAUUCCGUGAUGCUCUUCAUCGCUGUCCGUCCAUCUUACCAGCUCGCAUUAUUUCAGUAGGUGGCAACUCUUUGGGUUACUCGCAAGGCGUGAACCAACAUGACGUGCUAAAAAAGCACGGGAAUCCCUCCCGCAUAACGCCAACUCUCUCGGCCUCGGCUGCAAGGGAUGUCGCUCAUGGAUUCCUCUCUUCUUCCCACUUUCCAAGCUAAUUCGGUUCCCAUCGAGCCCUAUAUUUCUGGUGCUGGCUCAUUGCAAGCCGCAUCCAAGAGUGCUUAUCCACCAUGGCCAUGACGCUUGCUGAUUUGUGCCACUGCCACAGAAUCCCCCGGAGCUCCGACGUCAGCAUCGGGCUGGCCUUGUUCCUCGUGGUUCUAUCCGUGGUUUGUGGCCUCUUCACCUUUGUCUUAUGCCUCGCUGCCGAGGGCUCUAGGACUGAGGUAACAAUUAAAAUAUCCCAUGUGAUGCACAGAUUCUCCCCGGUUAAUUAUGAUCAUGAUAGCCGUAUUUAAAUCUGGUUAUUAACUUUCCUCUGAAUGCAUAAAGUCUGUAUCACCCUGUGACUCAUCAUGAAUACAUUGUCAGGCCACCCGGUAUAUCCUGAGCAACUGGGGUCAUGGCAGCGACGCAUCUGAGUGCAUCUACGACGCCAGUGGUCUCCGACCACUGGCGUUUGCUGUGGGUGCAUUCCUGUUGCUUGUGGUGGCCAUGUUCGCAGAACUUGCCUACAUGUUGGUUGUCAUCACAAGUCCUCAACCGCCGACAUUGGUAAUACCCUCGCCAGCUCCAUCAACGGUAAUGCUAACCUCGACAUCACGCAUAAGAACUCUUGCACGGCAGGCCCGUUUCCUUUUUCUCGCAACUUGGUAAGCAGAACCUUCAACCAGUGCAUCAGAAUUCAAAAUGCACCUAUCAUCAAUACACUGCCAUAGCAUCCAACCAUCGAAGCCUGCAUGCAGAUGUGGUUUGAGUGCGUUAAACAGGGCAUUGAAACCUCGACCCUUUGUAUUGUACUUGCAGGAUCAGUUUUGCCAUUGCUGAGGUGCUUCUGAUGUUUGGUAUGGCCGUGGAAUCAAGUCAUAUAUGCCAAUGGACAAAGCCAAGGUCCAGCUGCCAUGUAGUUCGACCAGGGUUAUUUGCAGCAGCAGGAGUUCUUGGAUUUCUAACGGUCCUCCUUGGAAUCGCCCUGUAUCGGACACAAACAUGGCACCAAUAUGCGCACAGGCGCCCAACACCAAGCGCACCGCCAGCACAGUGAGGGCAAAUGAAAGCCAGCCCCCACAAGAGACUCCGUCACCCCGACAAGACCUCAACAUCAGCAUCACUUGAAAUGGAUUUUGGGUAAUUACACAACCAUGUGCCCUGCAAUCGUUUCGCUGUAAUUGGAUUCAGUAUAAUCCAUUAUUUCACUACUUCAUAAGCUUGGAGCCCUCAAAACCAAAAGCCUGAGGCUGCCGAGCGCAUAGACAACAGGAUUUUCCUGCAAAAUAACACUACUAUGCCAUGAGUAUUCCAUACAAAUUUCCGAGUGGUUAGCGAUCAAACUAUCCCAAUCUGAGAGUGCACUGGAGUUAGUUCACCACCAAACAAUAAAGUGGCAACUUACAGAAAGCAUCAAACAGCUUAUUCAGCUCACUUUUUACAUGUUACCGGCAAACCACCCCAAGUAACCGAAUACUUGCAUUGCUUGGAGAGAGCAUAAAAAUAUUUCACCAUUCUUUUCGCCUGGACACUGUCGACUGGCUUAGUCGUUUUCCUUCCAUGGCGUCCUUCUUUCUCCUGCACUCAACACAGAGGUAAGGGCCCUCAGAUGAUCUUGACGUGGGUGAAAAGUGUGUGCCCGCAGUGGCAGAUAAACCCUCAUUUGGUGUUUGAUCCAUUUGGCAUAUUGCACACCGGAAAGGUGAUGAAUUCGCCUUCAAUGGGAAAUUUUUCCCCAAUCUACAUGAAAGCAGGUUUAGAGUGAGCAUCUACUCUAACGCACAAAUUGACAAUCAUAUUAUGCUGAACAUAAAUGGAAACCAUGCUAGGGUCAAGUGAAACCAGAUCCCCUGGUUGACUGGACACUCAACAACACAAAUAAUAAUCUUAAAGUCUACAAAGAGGCUUUUGUCACAGAAAAAAUCUACUUGUAAAGUCAAAUAUACUGCAACGAUGACUAACACACAGUAAAUUUUCAUCAAAUCAACCACAUUCAUUCGAGUUACGAUACAAAAUAGUUAUACGUUAAUCAGUUAAACUAGGUUGAUAAAUUAACUUUCCAACCAGAGCUAGCAGUUGUUGGCAUCUUCCAUAUUACAUCACAAAGAAUUUCUUGGCCCUCUUUGUAUGCACCGAGAUUCCUCUUUCAAGCUUUCAAUAAAUUGAGUUGACCCAUUUACAUGAUCACAUUUGCAAGUUCAUUAUACAAUAGCACCAUCAAAAACUCAGAGAGAAGAAUAGGACCUAGAGCCACCAAAGUCCAACUUGAUAUCCUUCAAUGGUUCAACCUUUAGCAUGAAUGAUGCAUAGAAAGAGAAAUGAGCAAGACAUCUCUGCCAGAUGGGCAUCUCAUUUGUUAUACACAUAUACAUGGAUCUUCCCAAUGAUUUUGUUGAAAUAUGGAUACAGAUUACCAUAUUACAAGUUUUGGGGAAUGAGAUGUGUGACAUCAAAAUUUAAAGGAUGACUAUAAAAUGAUAGAUGACCUUAUUGACAAGAUUAAGAGUAAUAAAAAUGUGUAGCUAUGGUGCUGUCCUGAAAGCAACAGUAGGCAGGAUCAAAGAUUUGAGAGAAUAUACCUCAGAAAAAUUAGAGCCUUCUGGUCAAGAUCAUAAAAUAAACUUCAAUUGCAGCUCUCUGGGAAUCUAGGAUACUUCAGAAAUUUAGCAGUGGAAAGAAGUGCUGGUAAUAUGGUUCAUACAGUGCUUUCACACAAAACAAUUUAGUGUUUCCACACAAAACAGGUACUUUCCAGAAUCUAAUGUUUUCCACAUAGAAGAGGUGCUUUCCAGACAAAAGAGGUGCUAGUAAUAUGAUUCAUGUAGUCCUUUUCCACACAGAAAAGGAAAGUUUGUACCUUUAAAAAUUUAAGACACAUGCCAAAGAAUUAUCGGAUGUAAGGAGGGGGAAUUACCAAAAAGACUUGCAACUUCAGGCAAACAGUUUGGGCAGUUGGCUCACGAAUAGGCGAUGUCAUUGUUGUGAAAUCGCGAACAUCAUCAUCAAUUCAUAGAUCAGGCUUCUCUAGUUCUCUCAAAUGUUGUCGCGUAAAAACCAACUAGUUUUAAUGUUCGAAUAUUCAAGGCAUAAGGCUACAAGUUCUGUGAGACACAACUAUGUCUUGAUAAAGAGCGCCAUUAGAAACCCACUUUUGCAAUAAAUUACGAGCAACAAAUAAGAAGCAUUGUGAUCGUAACUUAUCCAUCUCGAGACAUGACCUUCUCUAAUGCAAAAUCAAAUUUUUGAAAAAAGGUCGCCUGCCUACCCAACCAAAACCCCCUUCUGGACAAAUCAGAAAGCUUUCCAACUUAGCCUUCUAAGUGCCAAGUCAAAAGACAACCCUGAUCUAUCUAGAUCUUUUUAGCUCUAACAGAAUCCUUCUCCUCCAUGCCAAUAUCACAAGUUUCAUAACAGGUUGGACCUCAUCCAACUACUAAUAUGAUUUAGAUUGCCACCAUCUUAUAGAAAUAUUAUGAAAUGAACAGCCCUCUGCAUCACUAUAAACAGACACGUAAUUCAUUGAAUCUUGUACUUCCAGAACGAUGGUAAAGAACUUGGUAACAAGUAUUGUUACAAAAACAAAUAAAGAAAUCAUGCAAAUAUAGGACCAUUGAUAAGGGUGUCCAAAACUUCACUAUUGAGCGUGUUAAUGUAUUGGUCACCCAUUUUCACCUGAUAUACUUCAGGGACUUGAGCCAGCCUCAUUUCCAAAUGUAUAAAGUAGCUGCUUAUCUAUUUUGUCCCUAAAAAGGAUUUAUUGUUUCAAUUUGAGGUAGUAACCAGAUCAUGAAGGUGGUUACAAGCAUAAAAAAGGCCUUAUUGGCCAACCUACAAGUCAAUGUAUUGUUAGAUAGUUAUCUAUAUGACCAAUUUCGCCAAAAUAUACCACGAUUGCUACAAAAUAUAUAUGGAACUACAUCCAUGUCAUGACAUCUUUAAUUCAUACAUGAUAGUUUAACUUUAAGCAUAAAAUUUAAACUUUACCCAGCUCAGAAAGUAAUUCAGAUGAUUUAUGUGCAUUUAAACAGCACUGGCUUCACCUAAGAUUUCAUAUCCAUCACAUCCAUGUUUCCUCCCAAGAAACAAAACCUUAAAUAGGCUACAAGAAAUAAUAUCCUUCAAACCUUCACUCAAGGGGAUGCAAGAAAUGACAAUGUAAUUGACUAUUUCUAUUUCCAACUUUGCAGCAAAUAUGGAACUAAAAAAAUAGAAAGGUCUUAUUUCACUACAUCUCAAAAAUGAUAGAAAGUAUUAAAUCAAUCCAUGUUUAUGAUUUUGUAGCACUAUUUGAUGGUAUCCACAUAAACAAAUCUUCCAACCAGAUGCUUUCUUUGUCCAUGUUUCUAAGAUGAGGUCCUUGCUAAAUGGCUCCUAAAAUCAUAUGAUGCAAUUUCCCUCCUCUCCUCUCCUUUUGCAUGAUGUCGAAUUGAUUUUGGGUGGGAGGUCCCCAACUCCAACUUUGAUUCUAUCCACCUACUACUGCUUUGCUCUCUUCCUCCCAUAUUUGAUCGAUACAUCAUAUCCAAGUCCUUGUAGAACAACAAAAACUAGAAACCAUCUAGAGUAUAUCCACAUCCACUAGCAAAACUAUAGUAUUAACUUUUAGAGAAUUACCACACUAGUGCGUUUGAACACCUAAAAAUUUUGGUGACAGUGUUUAUGCCAUUUGAUUAAUAGGAUUUAGAAAUAGUGCACAAACGUUUCAACCCUUCGUUGUGCAUGUUUGGGAGUGUGUUUGCACUCGUCAAAAGUGAUUCUGAGUCCAAAAGCAUAAUUUUGAGUGUUUGGCUACAACCCAAAAGUAAUUCUUAGCCAUGUUAAAAAUCCUCCAAAAUGUAGUUUACGUAAAGCUGACCUUCUCUCGUUUCCCAUGGACAAGGGCCUGCAAGCUUAAUAUCGCAUUUGCGGGAAGUCAUUUAUUUUAAGAAAAUAGCACAUUGUCUCUCGAUGCCCUCGCAUCUCCGCUCCUUCCCAACUCCCCAACAUAUCAGAACAUCUUUUCUUCAGAUUAAUUUCCUCCCAAAAGGAUCAACUCCUCAUCGGAGAUCAUUCCCUCUAUACCGGCAAUGGCGAUGCAGCAGUGGAUCUUAGCCAAUUCCAAAGGCCAUCUCCCUCUGUUUUCCCCCCUCUUAUAGCAAUAAUUUCUCCUCUCAGUCUUCCGGGACCUAGAGCUCCCAGCACAAAACCCUCUGCCCGUCCUCAACGAUCCACGUCCGUCUCCUUUCCCUCGUUUCCAUGAAUUUCAAUCCAUUCCGAGUACCUAGGGUUUGGUUUCAUCUUUCUUUCAUUCGAUCAAGCUCCAAAGCCUCAUCGUUCUUUAUUGGUUUGCUCCGAUCUCAAUUAUUUACCUGUUUGUGUUCCUUUUUUUAUUCGAAAUUUGGGUUUAGAAAGGCAUUGUUUUCAUUCUUGGAGAACAUUGUUAGAUGUUGAGGUUUCUUGUGCAGCUGAUUUCAUACUAGAUUUCUCAUGGAUCUGAAGAAUGCAACUUUAUGUAGUUUGAAGAACAAUAGAAUAAUAAGGAUAGUUUCCUCCCUGUUUAUUUACAAGUAUCAUGAAUGUUCAUGCAUCUCGAUUGUAAGUAUCAGGCAUCAUUAAUGUUCGGGCAUCUUGAUUGUAAGUACUGGGUUGGUCUAUCAGUCCUCCAUAUAAAGAACAACAGAUGCUGCUGGAUGAUUUCACAAUCAAGGUUGCUGAAUUCUACCUACCACUGAGAAUCAAGGCUUCUCCUCCUCUUCUUCAAUGUUCUUGGUUGCUGAAUCAAGGUUGCUGUUUUAUUUUUGUCAGCCCCUUUUCUCCUCUCUUGCUUUUAUUUGGUGAAGAGGAGCUUGCUGUCAGACUGCUGAAGCAUCUUGCUUCAAACUCUAAAUUCUAUCAGCCUCUUCUUUGUUUUCACAGUUUCAAACACUGCUUUUGGCCAAAAGCUACAGCUUCCCCAAACAAAUCCAUUGACUUUUAUGUUGCUUAGUAGUACUUAGUACUUUUUUUCUCGAUUAUGUUCUAAUAAACUGUAUUCUUGGCUGCUUUGUCGGCAAAUUCUUUGGACUAAAAUGCUUGACAAAUCACUGUAUAUGUCCUAUAGGUUGAUGCAAUUGGAUGUUUUGUAUUUAUCCUGGUCAUCGCAGUUGCUAGUCUACAGAAACUUUUGCCAAUAAUGUCACACAUCAAACUUGGAUACUCUCUACUUGUGAAUUAUGGAUGAUGGAAAAAAUAAAUAUCACUUUGAUUUGAACUGCAACGCCAUUAGCAUGAUAUUUAUGGAAACAUCUUGCCAACAUGACACACAUCCUCUUCCUCAUACAGUUGUAAGCAUUGGCAUACCAUAGAAACUAAAACUAUAUCAAAGCCACACAUACACCUUGUUUUGUUACAAUGUUAUCUUGAUCAACCAACACAUAUGAAUAUGUAAACCACAUCCUGUUUUUAUUAGUCACAAGAUCCAAGAGAUACCAAUAUGCUAGAUCUACUCAAAGGGCCUUUGAUACAUGGACACUCUACCUAAGAUACUAAGAUCACACUGGGGACUUGUACUAAAAUGUAACAAACUAUGAGAUAAAUUAGUUUGAUAUGUGAAGGACAGCUCCCCUCUUAUUAAGUGACUGAAUAUGACCAUAUAAUGAAUACACAAAUCUCAUAUUUUACAGUAUAUAAAAUUAAAGGCUAAGAGGUAUUUAGAUUAAACAUCAAAUGUAACACAUAAAUGAAGCAAUUCUUUAGGUGUGCCCACAUAAGCCCUAAUACUUGAAUUUGUAAAUUAUAUUCUUGAUUGCUUGAUAUCUACUUGAAGCCAAUUAGAAUUUCUUAGAAAGAAAAAGGCUCUUGCUUUAUGCUAUGGUUUGUGAAUCAUUGAUUUGAGGGUGGGAGGCACACUAAAGUUCACAGACAUGAUAGAACACAACUGUUAGUUGGGAAACUGAUGUAGGAACAGUUACAUGUGAAGAAAAAAUUCUCAACGUGGUAAUCAAGGUACGACGUUGUGAAGAAUGGAAUGCAUAUGGGAAACCAUUGAAAAUCAUCAGGUAUCUUUUUGCGGUAUGUCGAUCUUUCCUGUCACAUAAAUUUCUUAAAACUCUAAACCUCAGUCACAUGCCCAUCCAAUCCCCUCGUUAGAAAAAACCAGAUUUUGUUUACCACAUGGGUUCCUGUCACACAUCAAACUUGGAUACUCUCUACUUGUGAAUUAUGGAUUAUGGAAAAAAUAAAUAUCACUUUGAUUUGAACUGCAACGCCAUUAGCAUGAUAUUUAUGGCAACAUCUUGCCAACAUGACACACAUCCUCUUCCUCAUACAGUUGUAAGCAUUGGCAUACCAUAGAAACUAAAACUAUAUCAAAGCCACGCAUACACCUUGUUCUGUUACAAUGUUAUCUUGAUCAACCAACACAUAUGAAUAUGUAAACCACAUCCUGUUUUUAUUAGUCACAAGAUCCAAGAGAUACCAAUAUGCUAGAUCUACUCAAAGGGCCUUUGAUACAUGGACACUCUACCUAAGAUACUAAGAUCACACUAGGGACUUGUACUAAAAUGUAACAACAAACUAUGAGAUAAAUUAGUUUGAUAUGUGAAGGACAGCUCCCCUCUUAUUAAGUGACUGAAUAUGACCAUAUAAUGAAUACACAAAUCUCAUAUUUUACAGUAUAUAAAAUUAAAGGCUAAGAGGUAUUUAGAUUAAACAUCAAAUGUAACACAUAAAUGAAGCAAUUCUUUAUGUGUGCCCACAUAAGCCCUAAUACUUGAAUUUGUAAAUUAUAUUCUUGAUUGUUUGAUAUCUACUUGAAGCCAAUUAAAAUUUCUUAGAAAGAAAAAGGCUCUUGCUUUAUGCUAUGGUUUGUGAAUCAUUGAUUUGAGGGUGGGAGGCACACUAAAGUUCACAGACAUGAUAGAACACAACUGUUAGUUGGGAAACUGAUGUAGGAACAGUUACAUGUGAAGAAAAAAUUCUCAACGUGGUAAUCAAGGUACGACGUUGUGAAGAAUGGAAUGCAUAUGGGAAACCAUUGAAAAUCAUCAGGUAUCUUUUUGCGGUAUGUCGAUCUUUCCUGUCACAUAAAUUUCUUAAAACUCUAAACCUCAGUCACAUGCCCAUCCAAUCCCCUUGUUAGAAAAAACCAGAUUUUGUUUACCGCAUGGGUUCCAAUGCUUGGGUGCACAAAUGUUUUUUCCCUAAUAACAAUUACAAUGCUAUAUCUAGGCUUGCAAGAAUCUAAGGCAUAAAGGUUAACAUUGCGAUGCAGACACCACAGCAAUUAAUCGAUCAUUUCUAUUCAUUUAGGACCAUUUCUUUUAUACUUAUUCUAAGAAGCUAGGUAUAAGUGCGUAGGGAAUGAGUUUACCUUCUGAAAUGGGGAGAAUGCACAUCCCAACAAAGCAUUUUACUAAAGCAUACUUCAUCAUGGGCAACCAUGGAUGAUUUAAUCAAAAGACUAGCUAUAGGAUCUUACAAAGUGAUCUAUAAGCAAAUAUGCUUAGCGUAGUCUAGAACCUCAUCAUCUCUAACCUACCUAGCCCAUGCACCCUUUAUUUGUUUGGAUAAACACUGCUCACUUUUUUAUAAGUCCCCUCACUCCAACUCCCAAAAAAAAAAAGAUCUCUUCUUAAAGGGGUGCCAGCAGUUGUCUUGAAGACAAAAAUCAAAUUUCAUGAAAGACAAAAGGGUCUUAGCAAUGCUUAUAUAAUGGUCAGGGAGUUUCAUCAAAUAGACACGAAUACAGGAGUUCCACAAACAUAAUAUGAUGCUCUAUCGAAAGGGUUUAAUAUGGUUCUAAAUAUAAUUUGAUAAUAGGAAAGCAUGGAAGAAUUUGUUUAACACUACAAAAUUUACAAAUUGCCAUGCAUUAUGAGGUGCUAUUAGAAAAGGAAAACAAGCUAAUGCUUCCAGCCCAUCUCGUAAAAAAUAAUCUCAACAAGAAUUACGAAUUUCUGGAUGAAAAUAGCGGAAGAUCUUUUUGCUCGCAAAGGAAAGAAAUUCAUUAAGCUAUUUGGAAAAGACAUUCCCAGCACAAAUAACGCAACCACUUGAGUUAUGAAGCAUAAUAGGUUAUAUAUCAUAACAUCAUUAACAACAAAAUGGGAUCCUAGAUGGGAUUCAAUGAAGUCACACCUUUCUUCCAGGAUUGCAGAACCCUCUUCAAAUAGUUCCUCGACAGCACCAACUGAUGAAAGUUUGUUCGUAUGUUUACCAACAGUGUUCUGCGACUUUUUCCCAAAAAGAAGAGAUGUAAACUUAUUCUGAUGCUUUUUUGGAGAUGAUGGUAGGACACAGCAAUCAGAUGAAGGUGGAAUGAUAUCAACAACUAAGCAAGUGGUGUCAUCUUUCAAGCCACUUGUUCUCAAAGCUUCCUAAAAAAACCAAAUCCACAAGAAUUAAGCAACGUGAGCUUAAAAAAAGCACUAAAACAAAUAUCUAUAAGUAAAAAGACGUAAGCCAUUAAUGAUUGGCAUCACCUUAACAACAAGCUUUGCAGCAAGUUCUGCAGGUAUCCCUCGGCACGCCUUCGCAGCCACCUCUGACGACAGAGCAUCCCAUAUGCCAUCUGACGCAAUUAUUAGCCGUCCUCCGGUUCUUGAAAGCUAACCAUCCAAUCAACAACAACAAAAAAACUAUUAUUCCAUGGGAUAUGGAAUACAACAAAACACCAAGUUUGAUUUACACUCACCUUCACUUGCUUAACAUGUGGUAUCGGGACGAUGAAUUCACCCACAUCUGUAUCACCUAUUGACCUUGAAAGGCACAAACCACCCGGCCAGCAGCGGAGCGGACCGACCUGAGAAGGCAGCACAAAACAAGUUUGCACUUCCCCAUCAAGAAAUGAACUUUGAUCAUAAAAUUUGCAACAGAGUUUCUUCAGAUUGUAUACCUCCUGCCCGCCAGAGAGAUUAAGCCUUCCAACCUCUCCCCCACUAGCAGUAACACGUUCCCUUUCCUCCGCAUUCUCUUCCAGCCUAUGAUCGACGGUCAGCAAAGAAACCACACCACCCUGUGUAUCCAGUAUGCACCGCGAGUCGCCCACCGAUGCGACCGUCACCCUCCACCCAUCAACCACAACAAGGGUCACCGUCGUCCCCGAAGUCUCCCCUGAUGACAACAAUCAACGAUCGGAUUUUUCUCAUCAGAUAAACAAAAACCAACAGCAGGGCACGCAUCAAGACUUGCCUUUGCGCUGGAAAUCUAUAUCCGUCCUCACGAAGCCGGCAACCAGAGCCUGCGGAAGGGCCUGGAGCCACUCCUCCCUGCCCAGCCCCGGAGGAAUCGCACUCAUAACAUUGUCCAAGAGAUGCUCUUUCGCGAACACGGCCGCAGACACUCCAUUGUGCCCAUCGAAGAUCUACAGACAAACAUUGAUUCCCGUAAUCGAAACCAAAAAGAAUAUACAAGAAACGGGAGGAAGUUAAAGGAGAUGGCGAUGAUACCGCGAAGACGGAGAAGGAGGAGGAGGAGUUGCCGGGGAUCCGGAGGCAAUCAGGCUUGAUGAGGAAGUAGUCCUCGCCCCGCUUGGCGAAGGCGUGGUGGCCGCACUUGAGGGUGGGCUUCUCGGACUUGUCGCCGCGGAGCUCGCGGCCGAUGAGGGUGGCGAGGGGGACCAGGGGAGGUCUCAUGCUCGGAUCCCGGUGCCGCCGGGCGUCGGUCAUUAGCGACGACUCCGCGGUCUCCUCAAAACCCUAACACAUGCUCGUGCCGGUCCUUCGAAGACCAAUCUCAUCUCAAAAACCGUAUAUUUCUUCCACCACUCGGAUCAGAAAACAUAGAGUAAAAGAUCAAGAAACGCAUCGAUGGAAACCCUAGGCGAGAUCGGCGGAGGGGAUCGGAGGCCCCAAUGCCGGUCGGAGAAGUCGAUCUCGGCGAUGGAGGAAUCAAGAAAAAGGAAAGAGAGGGAGGGAAGGAGAGUGGGCGUGGGGCCCAAUGGGGGCGAAGAUAUCGAGGAGGGAUAGCGAGAGAUCGACUGAGCCCACGGGUUCGGGAUUUGCGAAUUGUGGCAGAAAAAAUCCGAGAGAGGGAGGGAAGGGUUGGGGGGAAUGGGAUGUCGGUACCUACUGCGGAGGCCAAGGAGGGGAAGGGACCUGCGUCGUCUCUGUUCUGCGGCACCGUAGAAAAAGGAGAGACAGGGAGAGAAAGUAGUAAUGAUGGAUAAAAUACGGGGGAAUAAAUUUUUAAAAGAAACGAGAAAGAACGGGAGAAAGAAAAGAGUUGGUAUUUUGUUUUGGUUUGCAGCGGGAGUGGGGGCUGGGGGAGGGGCAAGGGGGAAGGUGUUUCGAUUUCUGCUUUGCUUUUCCAGCUGCGCAUUCAACUUUCUCCCUCUCUCUCUCUCUCUCCAAUCGCUAGAAGCUGUGUGCGGGGUGGUUCUAUAUACACCCCCCCUAUUGCUAAGGACACCCCCCAAAAACCAAAAAGAAAAAACCCAAACUAACCUUUAGUGUAAUUACCAUAUUGCCCUUGAAAUUUUCUCAUACAUCCCCCUUCCUCCUCCUCCGUUUCGUUUUGAAAAGAAAAAAAAAAAACACCCCUCGAACCCCCCUUAAACCCCUCAAUCCAUUUACAUCGUUUAGGCGAUCUUUGNNNNNNNNNNNNNNNNNNNNNNNNNNNNNNNNNNNNNNNNNNNNNNNNNNNNNNNNNNNNNNNNNNNNNNNNNNNNNNNNNNNNNNNNNNNNNNNNNNNNNNNNNNNNNNNNNNNNNNNNNNNNNNNNNNNNNNNNNNNNNNNNNNNNNNNNNNNNNNNNNNNNNNNNNNNNNNNNNNNNNNNNNNNNNNNNNNNNNNNNNNNNNNNNNNNNNNNNNNNNNNNNNNNNNNNNNNNNNNNNNNNNNNNNNNNNNNNNNNNNNNNNNNNNNNNNNNNNNNNNNNNNNNNNNNNNNNNNNNNNNNNNNNNNNNNNNNNNNNNNNNNNNNNNNNNNNNNNNNNNNNNNNNNNNNNNNNNNNNNNNNNNNNNNNNNNNNNNNNNNNNNNNNNNNNNNNNNNNNNNNNNNNNNNNNNNNNNNNNNNNNNNNNNNNNNNNNNNNNNNNNNNNNNNNNNNNNNNNNNNNNNNNNNNNNNNNNNNNNNNNNNNNNNNNNNNNNNNNNNNNNNNNNNNNNNNNNNNNNNNNNNNNNNNNNNNNNNNNNNNNNNNNNNNNNNNNNNNNNNNNNNNNNNNNNNNNNNNNNNNNNNNNNNNNNNNNNNNNNNNNNNNNNNNNNNNNNNNNNNNNNNNNNNNNNNNNNNNNNNNNNNNNNNNNNNNNNNNNNNNNNNNNNNNNNNNNNNNNNNNNNNNNNNNNNNNNNNNNNNNNNNNNNNNNNNNNNNNNNNNNNNNNNNNNNNNNNNNNNNNNNNNNNNNNNNNNNNNNNNNNNNNNNNNNNNNNNNNNNNNNNNNNNNNNNNNNNNNNNNNNNNNNNNNNNNNNNNNNNNNNNNNNNNNNNNNNNNNNNNNNNNNNNNNNNNNNNNNNNNNNNNNNNNNNNNNNNNNNNNNNNNNNNNNNNNNNNNNNNNNNNNNNNNNNNNNNNNNNNNNNNNNNNNNNNNNNNNNNNNNNNNNNNNNNNNNNNNNNNNNNNNNNNNNNNNNNNNNNNNNNNNNNNNNNNNNNNNNNNNNNNNNNNNNNNNNNNNNNNNNNNNNNNNNNNNNNNUAAGAUAUCCUCCGGCUAGAAAAAUACUGUAAUGAGGACUGAGGAGGUUAGAAUUUCUUUUUUUUUCUUCCUUUUCUUUCUUUCUUUCGCUCGUUCUUUCUUCUCCUUCCUUUUCUUCUCCUUCUUCUUCUUUUUUAUUUUUUAUUUUUUUACUAAGACAGAUAAUUUAUACAAGAUGUACAUAAAUACAUCCAAAAAAAUCAGAAAACAGAAAAUCACAUAGCUCCAAAGAUAGCUUCCAUUUCCAGCCCACAAGGUACUACCAGCAUAAUUAGCCACAUAGGCGGCCAUUCAAUUUACAAUCCCAUUAGCUUUUCUAAAUACAUGCUUAGCUUGGACGGUCCCACCAUCCAUCAUCAUCAUCCAGAUGUCUCGAAGCAAAGGAUGGUCGUAGUCGACAGCCCUCGGACCCUCUUGGAUCUAUCUGAUGAUCGUAGCCGAGUCACCCUUCAGGAUGACUGAACUAGCUAGUAGCACUCGCCAAGCAUGUCCAAGGCCCGCCCAUGGAGCCCUCAACUCCACACCAGAGACCAUAAUGUCGAGUAACUGACAACCACCUGCUGCCACUACUCUGGAGCAUGAGUUUCUGAUUGCGAAACCCAUGCCUCCCUUUGUGCCUCCAUUCAGCACAGACCCAUCAAAGUUGACCUUAAGAAAGCUUGGAGAUAGAAGCUCCCAGGUAAAGAACAUCGUAUGGGGUACUGCUAAGGCAGAAUGGCAACCUCAAAUAUUUCGAGCUGUCAAAGACCCUUCUACGCAGGAGACAUGACUAAUCUCCACCGUCUGUGCUCUGACACUCUCCGCUACGAGCCUCGGCGACAAACUAUGCUUGUCAAAAGUUCGAGCAUUCCUUGUCAGCCAGAUUUGGUAUACUGUGCAAGUCGUUCUAACAGCCUUCUGACGUAUCAGUGAAUUAUCCAACCACCGACAGAUGGUCCGUAAGAACAAGUGUUUUGACUCCAAACCUCCCUCAAGACUUAGGAGUUAUGCAUGCUAGUUAAGUGCCAUUCCUGCCAAAUAUAUGAUAGUUAUCCCGCAUACAGUAGUUGUGCAUGCUAUUCCCUCUCAAGCAAAACAAACUCAAAUAAUUUCACGAUAAUCUCAAGCCACUCGCGCUUGGCAGAUAACAAGGGGAGCAGGGGAGAGUCCAGAUCACCGUGCCGACCGUGCAAUUUAUGCGCGUGCUGAGGAACGUGCCGUGGUUAUCAAACCCAAACCCCAAGCGGUGAGUCAGACCGUGAAAUCGGAGAACCGUACCUCGAGCCGGGUCCGGCUUUGUAACGAGACCGCUGUCAGUGAUCCGUACACCGAAUCAGCCAAAACCCCACGCCCGCGGGGGACGUUGAUGCGGUAUGGGAGUUCCGACACGUGCACCAAUCACACACGGGGCACAUGCCCCGGCACCUGCGCAGGGAGGAUCCCCACAAUGUGAACCAGCGCCAUGAUAUUAUAGUGUAACUAGUGUCCCACCAAACAUACAUCAUUUGUGGUAACAAUGCCAUUUUAGGUUAGAAAGAAUAAGUAAUCCUUCUGUUUUUUUAUUCCAAUUUCAUUGCUAAGCCUACCAGAUAGGGGGAAAAUGGAUCAGAUGAUAUCAAUCGAGAUCUAUUUUUCAAUUCAAAUCUAUUAGGAUAUGAAUAAAAAUUUGAGAUUAAUGUGCGUAUUCAUAUCCAUAUCUAUUAAAGAAAAAUAGAUAAAAAAUAAAUAGACUAUCUGAAUAUCUAUUUUUAUUGGUAAUUUUAUUUAAUUUUAUAUAGCAUUCAUGACUUUUUAAGAAAAAUAAAUGAUUGUAUUAGUAUACUAUUAAAUUAAUUUAUCAUUUACUUUAUAAUAUUUUUGAUUCUGUGGUCACAAAAUUUAAUUAUCCGACUUAUAUUCGUAUUUAUAUUUAUAUUUUUAGUAUCGGAUUUGUAUUUGCAUCUAUUUAAGAUAAAUAUUAAUAUAAAUUUUUGCAACAGACUAAUAUUGGUAUCUAUAUCAGUAUCCAUCAAAUAAAAUAAAUAUGGAUAUCGAUAUACUAGUAUUUGAUCCAGUAGUGUCACCUUUUCAUAGCAAAAGUAAAUUAGGUAUAUUAUCUACCAGGCUAAUGGAUAUUUGGACUAAACGGGACAUAAAUAAUGAAGCAAAGUCUAAACUCGCGUUGAAGGAUAUAUAGAAAGAUGGUUCGAGGAUAUUGUUAUAUGAUCAAGAAUGUCUAUAUGUACCGCCACAUGGCUUGAGGCAUGGUCCAACAAUAGAGCUAGUGGAACCGCACUAAGUUGUUUGCAAAAGAACCUUUACAACCAAAGGGAUUUAUAAAGAUCAGAUAUACGAAUGUUUUGAUAAACAAAGGAUCAAUGAUGCUAGAAUGAAGCUUUUCCCUCCUCCAUAUAAACACCAACUAAUGCUCGUCACGUCAAGUGAUACCUAGGAAUCACACUCGAGACUUAACCAAUAACCACCCUCCAUACACAUUAGGAAUCUCUUAAAUUGGCACUUGAGAAUGUGCAAUGAGAUCAUGAAAUGUUGCUCAUGUUUCAAGGAACGGAGUCAUCUUUAUUUAAAAUCAUAGGUGCCAGAUAAAUAAAACAUGAGGCCACUUACGAACGCCAAAACUAUGAUAGACUUGUUCUGUUUGCUAGCCACCAUUAUUCGCCUAUUGAAGCAGGCAAUUAGGGGUCUAGGAUACACCAUUUGUUGGAUUUUCUCUUUUGCUUUCAAGCACUAAAAAAUCUGGAAAAGUUGUGCAACAAUAAAUAUCGUAGAGAAACAACAUAUUUUGAAAUUAAAACCAAGUGUAAAUCGCAGUAAAUUUGUAAGAUUGAUCACAAAUCUUUUAUGAAAAGUAAAAGUUUAACAAAGUAAGGCUUAGAAGUAAUAUAAGCAAAAGGCUAAACUACAUAAUAACCCUCCAAAUGCAUUAACCCUGAAUCCAUGGAUAACUAAUACUCUCACUAUUUCAAGUAACGGAUUGAUUCAGCAUACCAUCUUUCACACCCCUUCAACCAAUAAGACUGUUCUUCAUCAAGUUGGUAGUUGGUACCAAAGAGACAAACUGACCUAAACCACUGUAGAGAAAACCUUUUUGUCAGGCAACUUUUCUAGGAUACAAUUCUUCUCAUUAUUAGCAGAGGGAAAAGUCCACAAUAGUGGUGCAACUUGAUGCAUUUAGAUCAGUAGAACAUGAGAACAAGAAAUAAUCAUAUAUGAUUUAGUCUCUUCGCCUAUCAACUGUUCGUGAGAAGCUAAUCUUAUAAAAUGCAACUUAAAAGGAUAACUACUUGCAACAAAGUCAUCAUCUUACUAGAUAUAAGUUAUAAAGAUUCAUUGUAAUUUUUCAGACUAAGCCUUCGACGUCACACAAGAUAUGUUCAUGAUAAGAUAUGGUGAAUGUAUGGUUUUAAACAACGGCAAUAUAACUGUUAUAACAGUUUAAUACACCCUUAUUAUGAAGAAAUAUAAUAGCUAUUAUUUUGUAUUAUUUUCUGUUAUUUUCUAUUUUUUUAAUAACAAGCAUUAUAACACAAAUGAUGAAUGUUGUUUAUUUAUACUUUCUUUAUUUAUACACAGACAUAUAGAGAGGCCAAUGGGGCUGCAGAUUAGGUGACAUCGUAUGUGGCCAACUAUUUUAGAAAUACUCUGUAGGUGGAGGAGAGGGAGUUACCUAGUGCACUCCAAGAGCUAUUGUUUUUUAAUUUUUGUUUGGUUGUAUCCGUACCCACAUUAUAUGAUACAUCAGAGUUAGCAAAAAAAAUAAAAAAAUAAAACAAUAUAUUUAUUUUGAUUUUCAAAAUUUCUGCUAAAAAUUCCUUCCAAAAAUCAUCGUGCUUUCCAAAAAAUAUAUUAUUUUAUUAGAUAAAAAUUAAAGAAAAUAUAGCAUCAAUAUAUCACCAUCUUUUUGCUAAGACAAGAUAUUUUCUGUCAUAAUACUGUUAUAAUAGCCAUUAUUUUGAAGAUUAUUGUGAUAUUAAAAAUUUAACACUUGUUUUUGAGGCAAAAAAAAUAUGUCAAUCUAUAAUUGUCAAUAACUGUGGGUGAUCGAAGCUGCAAAUUUCAAAAUAAUUUUAAGGAUAUGUUCGACAUUGCUGAUAAGAGCAGGGAGAAAUCAGGUCAUUGGGAUAAAACCAAGCGUGCGAUUUUCCAUUAUUGUACGGCGUUGGAUUCUAUAACGGAUCCAGUGGAGCUCCCGGGCCCACCCCGUCGAGUUCUACGGGAGACGAUCCCCCGAGUCCUGGGUCCCACGAUUAAAAAAGACACACAAGAGCCGGACCGUCGGAUCGGAUUUCGACGGUGGAUUUGCUCGACGCGUCGAGAUAUGGACGGCAGCGGGCAAAGGGGUGUAUCUAGAUGGCGAAGGCGACACGGCGGGACGCGGUGACGUGGCCAUGUGACGAUGGGCCCCACACGGGGCUCGUCCACUCAUCGGCUCAGGUGCCCCCUAGCUGUAGGUUUGACGGAAAGAAGCCUCCUUUUCUCGAAUUCGCUCCCAGUUUUCAACUCGCUUUUCCUCCGCAAUGAAACAUCUAACUGAAGCUUGGUGCGGGGCUUUUUAUUUUAUUUUUAUUUUUAUUUUAUUUUUUUUAAGCGGACGAGCCGAAUAUAAUAUGGAUAUGGACACAUCUACUAAAAUAAACAAACAAAAUAUCGUGAAAUGUCAUAAGUAGCUUCUCCUCCUGAGNNNNNNNNNNNNNNNNNNNNNNNNNNNUGUUUCUUUCUAGCAAUUCAGCCGUAGUAAUAUGAUGAUAUGAUGCAGACAAGAAGAAGUUUUAGUUAAUUAAUUUGUCCACUUCUUUUGUCAAGACCAUCGUCUUCAUGGUUGGGUAGUAGAAAAGUCUAGGAUGAUUUGAGUUCUCAGCUUGCAUCCCUUUCUUUUAAAUUAAAAAAAUGAAGGCAAGAACUUAUCCAUUCAAUUUACAAGACAAAUCCCACCACCAUAGGAAGUUCUAAGCCACUUGCAUAUUGGAUAAAUAUCUUUUGUUAGAUGGAUCUUGUUCAUCAUCUUUAUUCUUAUUUUAUAUUUGAAAAUUCAUCUCCUUGCGCCAUGUUAGUACCCAGGAAUAGCUGAAUAAAAUAACAAAAGUAAUAGAAAAUAAAAGAGCAUGGUAGAUCAAGAUUGACUGUGGUUCACCUAAAAUCUAUGUUAUAAGUACUGAGGGAGUGGCAGGUCCACUGUAACAAAUGGAGUAUGCGAGAGCUCACCGAGAAAAAAUGAUUCGGAGAAAAUAUAAGAAUAGAUUUUGCCAAGAAAUCUAAACAUAGAAGAAUCACAUGUGUCAAGAUCUUGAGACCAAAAAAUAAUGUUCAAGCUCUAUCUUUUGUUCUCUCCCUCAUAUUUUGCUUCUAACACCACAUUGCAUCCUCCCACAGCAUUGAUUCGAUCACUGACCUUUCAAUCCUUAUAACUUUCUUGUUUCUUGGCCAAAUUGGGCAUAUGAAUGUAGAAAAGACCUAAUGAUGGCCUUCGAAUAUAUAGCGGCCAUUGAUCAUAUGAUAUUUUUGUUUUGAGAGAAAAAUGGUCUGCAAGAAAAAAACGUCCAUAACUAUAAUAGAACUUGUGAUUCAUUUUUUUCUCAAACCACAUGUUAUAAUUGGCUGCAAAUUUUCAGAAAUGAUCACACCCCAAUAGGCGCUAUAUGAAAAGAAAGUUCAAACACCAAGCAUAGCAAAAGUUGCCAUUGAAGGAUAUGGAGGUCCUACUAAUAGCCAGCCUAUGGAAAACCAUAUAAACAAAAAUUUCGAAAGUAUAUUCAACAUCUUUAGAGCCUCGAGAAACAUGAAAGGCUAUGAUACCAAUGACAGAAAUCAAAUCUUCGGUCAGAAUGAAGAUCAAUAACAUACCUCUCGAAAGCAUGUGAUCAAAGUUUCCAAAGUUCAUCUUCAGCUAGAAUUAUAUAUUUUGGUCUCCUUGUGUUCUUGAACAUCUUCUUCCUUAUUGUAUCGAAAAUUCGUGGCCAGAAAUUUGUUUGUAAUUGAAAAUUAAACUCUUUCACAAGAGUCUAUAUAAAAAGGGAGAGGAAUUUCUUCCAAUAAUCUCUCUCAUUUUUUAUCCCUUCAUUUUACUAUUAGGUGGUUACGUUGGUUUGUAGCAGUUCUGACAACUAUACAAGAUGUAAUAACUCCCAUCUGAACCUAUUUGAACUAGGCAUGGGCAUGCUCUCAUGGGCACCAGCCUCUGGCUCUUGAAUUAGUGCUUGUAUAAAUAGUACAUGGAUGAGAUACUAAGUUUCAUAACCCGCAUAAUAUAUCUCUGUAUACACUUUCUAUAUGCUAUGCUAUUCAUUGUGAACUAGGAGAUACCCUAGUGUUCUCAUCUCUUUGCCAAAUAAAUAAAUAUAUCUGAAUCUUGGAUAGUGUAUUCACAGGAAUUUAGUUCCUGGUAAUUAUAAUUCUUGUGGAUCAUUUUGUUAUCUCAAAAAUUCUUGGUAACAUUAUUUGCAUAAGUAUUCUAAAAGGAUGUCAGAGAUAGUUUAUUAAUAACCAAAGUUCCAUAAGUCAUCCCAUAUAUGCAUGUUGGGUAUGUACAUGCUGCGCCUCUCUAACAUCAUGUUGUUUCAAGGCCCUGGAUCGCUAUAUUAAUUAAAGCUUCACUGCAGCCAUGCAACAUGCACAUAUCAAACAUGUACACGCAUACCAAGGCAGUGUUGAGUUGCCAAGAAAGUGAAUAGGGAAACCAUGAUAAAAAAAAGAAAAUAAAAUGAGGAUUAUGUAUUGUUGGCCUAUUUUUAAUAAAUAAAAAAAGAAUUGUAGAUGAAUUUUGUUGUUUGCUACGCAAGAGAUAAUCUGAGAUUCUAUUUUGUUUAUCUUUCCAAAUUCUUGGAGAGGAAAGAGUUUUUUUAGCCCCUAUAAGCAAUCUUUUAAUAAGGAAAAAUAUAUAAUAGAGUGGCUAGAGUAAUAGUAUUAAUAGUAGUAGUAAUAGUAAUAAUUAUAGUAGCAAUAGUAAUAAUAAUAGUGAUAAUAAUAAUAACAGUCAUAAUAGGAGUAACAACAAUAACAACAUCAAUAACAACAACGAUAGUUAUAUAAAGUUAGGCCUAGUUUGGGCCAAUCAUUUAUGACCCCAAAAACCCAUCCAAGCUAUCUCAACAAUUCAGCUGCAAAGUCUCCGCUUUCCUUUAUCUCUAAUUUCAGUUAUAACAAUAGCAACAUUAUGUAAUAUUGUAUACUUUAAAUGACAAGUUGUAACAUCCACAUUCAUUGGAGAUAGUUUUUGUAACUCUAUAUAUUCAAAUAAACAGCUCUUAGUGAGGGCCAAACUAGUUUUUUCAUAUUAUUUUACUUACAUAGUAUCAGAGCAUUCAAGCUAACUCUUGAUUCUGAUAUAGCUUCCACAACCUUAGCAAACUUGGUCUAACAGUGGAAACGCUUUAACGACCACUGGCAAACCAUGGAGCAACUUAAUUCGCUGGAUAUUCUAUCGUCGAUGGCCUCCGGUUGUGGCGCCGCCGCAUCAGGCUUUAUCGCAAAACUUGGCGAUGGACAAUAGACUUCCCUCCGGCAUGACACAGGGGAACGAGCCGCUAAAAACCUGUUUCCGAUGUCUAACAAUCCCUCCAAAAUUUGGAUGAGUUUGUUCGACACCCAAACAAUCCCUCCCAGAUCUUGAUAGAAUUCCGACUGCUAUCAGCCAUCAUGCCUCAAUGCCCGAAUGUAACGACGCCAGAGUGUGGAGAUGGAACGCCUCUGGAGCCCUCUCAGUGGCGAAGUUGCUCUUGUUUCUCAUCACACGGCGACAUCUUCUCUCCACUCGGUAAAACUUUUGCUGACUUUCUGUUCCCGAGAAAGCAAAGAUCUUUAGAUGCCUAUGCUUCAGCAGCAGAGUAUUGACCGUCGAUAACCUUGCAACAAAGGGCAUCAAAGGCCCGAGUGCAUGCCCCCUUUCCUCCUCUCAGGAAGAGUCAACAAUUCAAUAUAAUCUGAAAAUUAUACAAUUCAUCUGCAAAAAAAUUCUAAAUAUUACAAUAACUAAACUAUUAACCUAAGAUAUUGCAUAUAUUAUACAUGCCACACAAGUUGUACCAUAGAGCUUCUUCUUCUAAAUUUUACGAUUCAAAACUUCUAGUGCUUAAGUUAUUUAUACAUUAUUCGGAAAACAUUAUAAUAUAUGUAUGCUGAUCAAACCAGUUCUACCAUCCAUAAGAACGGCCUUGCCUUUAAUAUUUUCCUAAAAUACUGAUAUCAGUCUAGCCUCUGGAUCCUGGAUAUGAAAAAUAUUGGUAAAGAUUAUGCCCAGUGAGUGACAAAUACAAUUUACAAAACUACUUCAAGCCAUAUUAAUAAUGUAAUUCAAUUAAAUCACAUAAGAUAUGAUACAUCUUUACAAGUAAUGUUUAUAGUAUUUAUUAUCAAUAAUAUCUACAUACCAAAAUUACAUGCCAUCUUUUCAAUAAUAUUGGUAUAAAGAAUUGAUACAUCAUAUCAGAGUACAAUACGUGUCCAAUAUCAUAAUCAUGCUUAUAUUUAUAUGUUUAAGUGGGAUACUUAAUCUUUUUAGCUCUAUAACCCUGACUGCAGUGUAUUUAUACUAUGCUGCUCAAGUAUCACCAUAAUUAUCCUCGUGGUGGGGUCACUAUAAUGUCGCCCAUGGUGGGGAUCACCACGAUCGCCCUUGUGGUGGAGUUGCCAUAUUAUAUUUACCAUGAUCAUCCCCAUGGCGAGGAUCACUAUAUAAUCAAGUCUGGACUCAUAUAUAGUAAGGUUGAGAGUCACACACACACACACACAUAUAUAUAUAUACAUAUAUCUAUAUAUAUAUAUAUAUAUAUAUAUAUAUAUAUAUAUAUAUAUANNNNNNNNNNNNNNNNNNNNUAUAUAUAUAUAUAUAUAUAUAUAUAUAUAUAUAUAUAUAUAUAUAUAUAUAUAUAUAUGUAUAAUUUAAGUAUUUCUUUUUUUUUAAUGCUUGAUUUCAUUAUAAUAGGUAUCAACAUAUAAUUUGAUAACAGAAAAGCCAUCACCAAUUAAUUAAUCGUAUUUAUAGAGAUUUCAAACACUAUUAAAUUUGAAUUUACCAUAAUAAAUUAUAAUUUUAAUGAUAAAAAUUUAAUUAACUUUAAUUAAUUAAUAUAAAGUGGAAAUGUUACUUAUCUUGUAGAUAUGAACCAUUCAACGAUCUAAGUACUUCUUUGGGGUUCCUCAUAAUCUAAUAAUCCAAAAUCACGUGCAUGUAUCGAAUUAUUAGUACAAUCAUAUUUUAAAAUUAAUUUCUAAAAAUCUCUAAAAGAAUUCCAUUUUUUCUUAUUUUUUAAAAAUUCUAAAAUUUCAGGUUAUAACAUUUCUUUGUACCUAGUUACAAGACAGAAGGUGAGAGUUGGUACGGUAAAAAUUGCGCCGGGCUUGCUCAAAAGCGAGAGAAAGAAAGAAAGAAAGAGUGCGAGCCUUUACCCUCUUAACAUGCUCGCGCACCAACACACGGGUGGAGAGAGAGAGGGGGGCCUUUCCUCUCUUUCUUUUCAUUUUGUUUUUCCUCCUUAUUUUUUGCCAGAGAGAAUCCGGAAGGAAGAAAGGAAGAGAAGAAGGAGAGGAAGACAGGGUGGGAGUGGGAGGAUGGGUGAGAGAGAGAGAGAGAGCGUGAGAGGAAGAUGGCGAAGGAGGAGGAGGAGGAGACGGCGGAUCGGUGAGGAGAUGCCGGAAGGGCGACCGGCCGGUGGUUCAGCGGAAAAGGAGGGUGGAGGGAGGAAAGAAGAAGAGAGGGUAUGCUGCGGUGGGAGCUAUGGUCACGGAAGAAAGGCGCAGGUCACUGCCUUAGGGCGGGCCCUCCAUAUUUUAAACCUGGUCCACGGGGCCCAGGUAUCACAAACCCAAUAAAAUACCAGCACCGAGACCACCCUUCACCUGGAUCUCGAAUCACCCUCCUCCCCUUCCGUCCCUGGCAAAGUCGCCGUUCGGACUUGGGGUGAGGAGGGGUGGUGGCCAUGGAUCCGAGAGAGGAGAAGACGAAGGAGAUGCGAGCGACGAUAAAGAGAGAGAGCACCCUCGUUUCCCCAACUUCAACAAUAAAAUCUAAACCUAAGGAUGGGGAGGCGAAAUUCAGCUCAUUAGCAUCGCCCAAAAACUUUGCGGGCUCGUUCCGUUUGCGAAAAAUAUUUUUUUUAUAAAAAAUAUAAAUUUUGAUAAAUUUUUUAAAAAAUAAAUAUUUAAAAAAAUAUUUUUAAUAUGUUUAGUUAAUCAUAAAAAAAUAAUAAAUUUGUAAAGUGCUUAUGUUUGAUUGACCAUCAAUUUUUUGUAAAAAGUUAUGUAUAAUUUCUAUUAUAUUCUUAACAAAAAUUAGAUUUUUAAUAUCUCUUUAAUGCUGAAGAAUUUUUUUAGAAAAAAUAAAAAUUGAAUAAUUUCCGACUCAUAAAAAAAACUUUCUCAUACUUCUCAUAGUAAAAUUUUUUUUUAUAAAAUAUAAAAAUUAUAUUUCUAUGAGGAUACAAUUUUUUUACGUCUUUUUUUUUUCAAAAUUUUAACAGAAACAUUAUUUUAUUAUUAUUAUUAUUAUUAUUAUUAUUAUUAUUAUUUUUGGCGAACCAAACGGGCCCUGCAUGUUGCACCCAAAAUUCGGGGUUUUGGACAUCACUUAUUGGUGUCCUAGUUCACACUGUUUACGAGAAUGAGUAAAUGCUGUAAAGAACCAUCUCUGACAGGCCAAGCAUAAAGUCCCAUUUCACAUACAUGAGUGCGACAAGGUAGAUUUUGAGGACACAAAAGUCGCAUUGCCUUCCAGUUGGUGAGCCUGGUCCGGCUCUGGUACUAUUACGUAAACUAUUUGCCCACAUUUUCAAUAGGUGAAGUGAAAGCAAAGCUAGAGGGAGACUGAGAAAUAGAUGAUGGCCCUCACAUGGGAUAGCUAUUUGAAAGCAAAAGCAGUAAUCAUGAGAGGGGAUGAAAAUGAGAAAAGAAGUAAUUAUGAGCAUCCAUGGAAAAAGAACCAACAACUAUACACCUGUGCAGAACCAUCUCUUCUUUUGCAUUUCUUCUUCUUCCAACUUUUUCUUUUCCUUUCCUUUAUGAAUUAUGAACAUGGCAGAUAAAGAAUGGUCAUCUGAAAAUGAUACAUGUCGACCACUUGAAGCAAAAGCAAAGAGGGUGUGGUAGGACUCCCACCACCCUUCACUACAACCACCAAACCAAUCCAAGCAACUGGGGUUAUUGGCACUCAUUACCAUACUCGAGGACAAGGCCCUCGAUCUAUCAUGAAAAUCUAAAAAGAAAGCCAGGAAACACGCAGCAUCCUUUCAAGAACCGUCCUUAUUUCGCAUUGUUCAUUUUCCCACCAGAUGAAGUCCGUUUCCCAUCGCUGCUGAUAGAAUUAGGCUGCCUCCCUGUCCGAUUAGACCCGUUCGACACUUUCCUGGAUGGCGAAGGGAGGUGUGCAUGGUUUGGAGUUCUAAAUUAUAGUAGAGGAAAAUAGGAACCAUUAGAAGCAUUCAGAAUGAUUUAAUUGAAAAAGAAUGUGCUUAAAGUAAUGCAGUAAACAGAAACAGACAGGCUUAUUUUGCUCUGUUGAGUAGUAGGUUCGAACAAAAUUUAGAAGUACAGAAAAUUCAAAAUUCAUGUUAUAUGUCAUAUAUGAAUCCCAACAUGGUAGUCUAUAUAUCUCACAAUACUAGCUUAAUUAAGCCAGCUUCAUAGCAAAAAAAAGGGGGUUGAAAUUUGUAUUUCUACUUAUGUGACAUCAACGGUUCGUAGAUUGNNNNNNNNNNNNNNNNNNNNNNNNNNNNNNNNNNNNNNNNNNNNNNNNNNNNNNNNNNNNNNUUCUCAUUAAACAAAAAAGAUGCAAAAGACUUGCACACAAAGAAAUGACUGAACACAUGCAACCAAGGAAGACCCUCCAAGACUAUAUCAUCAGUGACAAGCAUGUAAACCAAAGGACUUCAUCCUGACCUCAAAGUUGCCAACUAUGAGACCAGUAAGCCAAAUGAAAGAAACCCCCCCUAAAGCAUGAGAUUCAAGUUCAAUGCCAGGGCGGUUGGAAAGGGUUGGAGAUUGUUGGUUAUGAUCACAGAUCUUUUAUGGAGACAAAUAAGCUCUGACUAACAAGACUAUAUUAUCAGUGACAAGCAUGUAAACCAAAGAACUUCAUACUGACCUCAAAGGGGCCAACUAUAAGACAAGUAAGCCAAAUGAAAGACAACCCUAAAGCAUGAGUUUUAAGUUCAAUGCCAGGGCGGUUGGAAAGGGUUGGAGAUUGUUGGUUAUGAUCACAGAUCAUUUAUGGAGACAAAUAAGCUCUGACUAACAAGCACCCUAAAGUGGGUGCACUUCUAAUGCCUAGCUGUGAUGAGAAGGAUAUAACAAAAAGAAAGAGUAUUCCAGACAGUAAACCUGCACUUCCUACAACUGCAGCAAAACUUGCCAUCACUGAAAGCUGGUAGUAGCCUAGAAUCUCCAAUCUGAACAUAUCCAGCUGUUUGCCUAGCAAAUUGCAAUGCUCUAGUCUGCUGCAAGAGUUAUUGGUUGCAGCUAGACAACACUAUACAGUGAGUGAUGCAUGCUAAAAGGAUUAUUAGGGAAAAGAAUUGGCAUCUGCCGCAUCUCUGAUAUGGCAUGAUACCAUGCUGGUUUUGUUUUCAACAGUUACUGUAGCCUAGGAUGGUGUUCCUUCAAUAUAGCAAAAUUAAUAACAAUAAAACAUUAGAAAUUUUCCCCAACUAAACAACAAAUUUCUAAUAUUUAGAUCUCAAACAAAAGGCCACCAUCAUAAAACAUCGUGGAUAUGCAUAAUUUUGGUCAUCUGUUCUCAACCUACAAUAAAAGGGAAAAGUAUAAUUUAUUUUUAGAAUACUAAGAAACAAAAAAAAAACAUACAAAAUUAGAAUAUGUUAUCACUGACUAAAUUGACUCGUUGAUGUAGCAGUUUUAGCCGUAUUGGUUUUGGCAAUUCAACCAGAACUCAUAAGAGAGGAGUUUUAGGAUGCAAACAUAACUUCAAUAAUCCUGUGAUAAAAAAAAUUAAAAACAAGAAACUUUCUUUCACAUCUAGACUCAUAACAUUUUAAAAUAUCUAUAUUUGCACAAUCAAAGGUACAGCUUUAGCUAAAUUGCUGGUCAAUGAUUACCUUAUAUCUGGGCUAUUUGUUGGCUUUUGUUGAGGUUUUUUGAUCCUUGACCCACCUUCAUUAACUGCAGUAUUAACAUUUUGGAGAUUGAAUUGCCAUAAAGUGUCCGCUUCUGAAGAAUCACUUGUUGCAAUGUCUAAAUCAUCUGAAUCAUCAGUGCCCACAGAAUAAAACCGGCUUCUUUGCAUAUCAAAAUCAUGACUAUCUUUUCUCCUAGUGGCAUUCCUGAGGUAUUGUUCUGGAUAAGCUCCCACAUCGGAAACAUACCUUUGGUAAAAAAAGUCAGGCAGGGGUGCCCUAUCUCCUUCCCAAUCCCUUAAGGAAUCAUCAUCUCUGAUCACAGCCUCAUGCUUGUUCACCAUGACCUUGUCAACCCAGUCUCCAGGAACACUUUCUUUAUCUUCUCCCAUCUGAAAAAUUGUUCUGGGAUUGCUGUCUGGCCAAGGGGAAUCAUUUGCCAUUAACAACUCUUGGAGAUCAAAGCUUGGUUUCUUUUGUUUCAACGAAGGUUUACUCCACAUCUACAAAUAUAUCAUUAUUAGAAAAUUCAUGCUUCAGGAUAUGGCAAAGCAAAAAUGCAGUCAAGAUAAAUUACCAGCAAUAAUCUAUUUCAUGGUCAUAGGAACCAAUCAAAUCAAACCAUCAUCUCUGGGAAGCCAUAAAGAUCUUUGAGCAGAAAUUAACCAGUUUCUAUUCAAGCACUGAUGAUAUGAUAAAAAGUGCCAUAACCCAGUUAUGGUCCCAGCAAUCCGGGAUCCUGUGAGAGGUAAACUGGGGACAGUCCUAACGUUUAGCAUUUUUCUUGUCAGUCCUAACCUGGCCCCUAUAGAUGAUAUAAUACAUGGAAGAAAAUACAUAAUUGAUAUCACAGUAUUUAUAUAACAUUUUCUACUUGACAUAUAUAAAAUCGUCAAAUCACUUUCAAGAUGCUGAAUCCAAAAUAUAGAUCCCUAAAAUAUUUAAAAUUGUGAGGACUGAUGAAAAUGAUAGAGAUGAUACAGGUCAUCUAUGCCUAUGAACUGAAGCAAAAGCCUGACUUAUAUUUAAUAAUUAUUAAUCUUGAGUGAAAAAUCAAAGUCUUAAUAUUUAAGUGAUAUAUCUAGCAUCUAAUAUGCAAGUUAAACAUAUUUAUUGCAUUAGGGAGGACGUGUAUGAAUAUAACUGUUUAAUUUGAUAGUGAUGAAAUGAAUAGCUAAAGAGAAAUUAUAAUCCAACAACACAGCACAUUUAAUAUAGUGAGAGCAUUCACAAUCCCUAAUUUAGUAUUAGCUGUCCUAAGUACGAUACCUCUAUGUUUCCAACAUCCUCCAUAGGCUGUCUGCGGUUAGUUUGAGUAUUUAAAUACUCUUCACCAUGCCGCCGAUUUGAGUUUACAGGUGAUGGUGCCUUCAUGUUGAGCAUGUCAGGAUUUGGUAUUAUAUUCUGAAGAUGCUCUGAUCCUCCUUCUUUCCUUGCUAAUGCUGCUUUAAGACAGGCUAUCUGAAAUAAAGAGAAAAGGGAUCUUUAUAUCUGAAAGGACAAAGAAAUAUGAAACAGAGGGAUGUGUAUCAUAUAUAUCAAUUUAGAGGUAAAAGCUCAGGCAAAAAACCUGCUCCCUGAGCUCUUUAACUUCUCCAUUUUCUUUAUUUAUUCGAGCAGCACCAAGUUCAACAGUAGAAACCCGCUCAGCAAAUUUGAGCGUGCUAAUCGUUUCUCCAACAGCAUCCAUUUCAGGACUUAUAUGGACAAACAUCAAUGUUUUUGCUUGCCCACCUGAAUAUUUAAACUUAUAGAGCUCAGUGAAAUAGAGAUAGAACUUCUUUUAAUUCUCAUUAACAAAUUAACAACAUUGAAGGCAUAAAAUUUACCAAGAGAGUCUUGAAGCAAUUGCGUGAGUUUACUAUUUCUGUAAGGAACAUGCGAGUUCUUCUGGGCAAGAGCAGAUAUUACAUCCCCUAGAGCUGAGAGCGAUUUGUUUAUAUGUUGCGCCUCUUUUAGCCUUUCUCCCGUGGCCUCAGAUUUAUCAACUCUUUCACUGCCUGCAAGAUCAACUAAAUGCAUGCAUCCCCGAAGGAUCGUUCCAGAUGUCAUAUCUCUUCCUUGAACAUGAACAGUCAAGCAACUGCAAGCAAGAUCAUUUGGCAUCACAUACCCAUGUAAAUGGAAUUAUAUUAAUUUAUAGUGAAUCAAAUGCAACAUUAAAUCAUCAUAACACACCUAUGAGAACGGCUGCUACGGUCAUUCAAUGCUGUAGCACCCACAGCACGGUUCUUCUGCCCAAUGUUCAUUAGUUCAAUGACAUCAGAUGUUGACAUAACAGGGACUAAGUUUGCAUCAGGCACAUUAAGUCCUUUCUGGGAACUAUUACGAAUUUCUAAUGUAUUUACUUGUUAAGGAAAUUUAGUAUUACUGUCAGAAAAAGUUGAAGAAUGAGAACAUAUUAGCAAUAAAUAUGAUGCUUAAAAGUACAUCUAAAUUUGUUCCAAAAAUUACUACUACGCAUACCUGAGACAGACGUCCAACUACAAAGUCAAAACAAAAAUCUAAGAUGAACUAUUUUACAUAUUGAAACAUUUACUUGUAAAGGAAAUCAAACACAUUAAUGAAAUAUUUUGGAGCAGAAACAAAUAAAAGUGGGAAGGAUAUCUUUUGUUAAGACCAUCACUGACAAGAAGGUCUCUCACUUGCUCAUUGUAAAUUUCAAUCAUUUGAACAGAGAUUUCAUAAUAAAAUGCGCCCCUUCUUUGUUCUGAGAGUUUAAAUAGGUCACUCAGUGCCUUAUAAUUCACUCCCUGUGUUUGCUCAUUCAGAUUCCUAGGCCCACUCUGCAUAACAUAUAAAAUUAGCUCAACUGAGGUAGUUAGUCCACUAAAUGUCAACUUUUUAUAAGGGUAACAUCUCAAAUGCUCGAAGUAUUGAAAUAUCAUGAAAAAUCAUCUAAAUGAAAGCUUUUGGUUAGUCAUGCAAUUCUUUAUCUAAGAUGAGUUUUUGUCAAAUUUCUUACCAUAGUAUAUGUUUUCCCUGAUCCAGUUUGGCCAUAUGCAAAUAUACAAACAUUAUAACCAUCAAGAACAGAUCGAAUCAGAGGCUGUGUAUCUGAGAAUACCUCCUCUGCAGUAUGAUAAGAAAGAAGUGACUGGCUGCUCAAGAUAUUUACGUAUGAAAAGUAAGAAGCAAGACAGCAUCUCAUAAACCUUGGGUUGCUGAUGGACUGAAAAUUUUGUUGAAAUUGAAAGAUCUACGUCCUUCUUUUCCAUUCUUUGAAGGGGUGAGGAUUGUGAUAGUUCCAUCAUCGAUACAACCAAUAGUGCUACUACUUAGUUGUCCAGGUAGGAAGGGUCUAACUCGGCAAUAGACCCUGAUACUUCCUAUUAACGGGAAAAAGUGAGGUUAACACUGUAAAAAGUUAUUUCACACAAUACAAAAAUAACUAAACAGAUAGAAAGUUUACCCUUCAGAUCUUGCACUUGAUUGUAUAGCUUUCUGUUUUCUUCAAGUACUUUGUGAUAACCUGAAGCUGCAUGAGCAACGCUGAGAAGAUGCUUUCCUGUUAUACAAAAUGUGACGCAAAAGAACACAUAAAUAUUUCUUUCCAUGAGUUCAUUUAACCUUGACAGGUUCCCUAAUGAUAUGCUUUCCAUCUUACCAAGCUUACUGAAUUCCUCAGAGUACUUCAUUUGCACGAACUCCAUACCAGCUCUUGUAAUUUGAAGAGUACGUUUCAAUUCCUACAGAAGGCAUUGAAUACGGAUAUAAAUUGAUUAAUCUCACAUUUAAAUCAAGCCACCCAGGAACACCAUUGAAGCUGUGUUAUUACCUGAAUAUCUCUUUGUUGUUGCUCAAAUAUCUUAUGUUGCUUCAAAAUCUUCUCUUUUGAUGCCUCUUCUUCUUUCACAUUCUUACGAACAUAGCCCUCUUUCUUUGACCUCAUGAAAGUAAUUUCCUCCUUCUCCAUCUUAAAAAUGAUGAUGUAUUAUAGGGUUGGGUCAUUCCCACACUCAUUUAAGGACGAAGCUAUUGGAGCAAAUAUAUUAUAACAGGAUGUAAUGGUUCCAUUCUUUUAUUAUGACUAUUCAUGCUUAAAAAGUAUUUCAUAUAAGCUGCAUGAGAGAACAUUGCUUGAAAUCAAUCUAAUACAUACCUUCAUCUCACAAGAAGCAGAGGGGGGAUCUAUUGAAACCUUUUGUUUGCAAAAAGAUUUACUGUUGUCAGCAAGACCCUUCAGAGCUGUUUUCACCUGUUGAUUUUCCAAUACAAAUAAUUUUAUAGUCAUGAAUAUCAUCAUCAAUAAAUAUUUAUAGCUAUAAAAGAGUCACAACUCAAGAAGGGAUAAUAUAAUGAAGAGAAAUGAAGCACCUUCUUCAAAUAAACACACUAUAUUCACAAAUGACAGCCAAAUAGGAGGGUUGAAGGAUUUUAUUGGAAUAUGAAAUUAAAAUAUUACUUUUUUUCCUUCAAAUAAAACUGCAUACUAGAAAAACACUGGAAUAGAAUGUACCAGCUCGUUUUGGCUUGCUAUGCGGUGCUCAAAUUCUUCCAUUACUUUACCUAACAUAGACUCUAAAAGCUGCAAAUAGACAACAACAGUCUUAUCUCCCCCUUCUGCAUUCACUAAGAACAAUCAAUUAAUUAACAGGGAAAAAAUAAAUAAUCUUACCUGUGGAACUUCUUCAGGCCUCUUGCCGGAUAGGACCGCAUGUACAAGCAUACUCAGUGGACGCGAAGAAGUCUGUUUGGCAUAAUAUGCAGGAUGCUAAGCAAGGUGAAGCUAAUCAUUCAGUAGAAUGAAUUUCAAAAUUAGCACACUAACCAUUUCACUGGAUUCAAUUGAAAUGUCGCCACUUAAAUUAUGCUCCACACAUAAAACAUCAUUCUCAUUCAUUGACUGACUCCUUAACAAGGAAUUCUUGAAAGAUUCCGGAUUUUUCCUCAAGAAAUUUUUCCCUAAGUUGGAAGGUUUAGAAUUCCCACCAUAUUUCCAAGAACCAUGGCCGCCCAUUUGUUUCCAUUCACCAUAGGAUUUGAGAGCCAGAACGCAGUCCACAAUCCUGGCACUUUUCCCUCCCUGAACUUCCAGAAAGCAGGAUUGCAUAGAGAACACAAGGUUAAAAUGUAUUUUAUAUAUUUCAUCAUUAAAUUAUAAUGCAACACCUUGAAAAACUUUGACAAAGCCACAUAAUUAUCAGGUUGAAAUUAAAUGCAAUUCAAGAAAACUCAUUGUAAUAUCCAUCAAGCCUUAUUGCAGCUAAUUGAAGCAACUUACUGAAUCCACAUUCACUAAUCGUUCCAAAUCAAGAAAAUUCAAUGAAGCAAAACCAUGGAGAACAAUAUUUGAAAGAAGAAAUAAAUGAAAAGCUGGUUAACUCUAUCGACUUCCCCAAAAUGCACUUAGGAAGAAGAGUAAGAGUCUUGGAAAUCAAGAUAUAAAAUAGAACAUAAGGAUUCUUGAAUAAAAUGCCCAUGUGAACGAUCAAAACCAAAUCAUAAAUUAAAGUGAAGGAGGGACGAUUGUUAGACAAGAACUUUUAGUAUCUAAGAAUUACAAUGCCAUUCCUACCUGCUCCAAGUCAGAAGCCUCAAACAAAGGAAGACCAAUCUCUUGCACAGCCACAAGAAAGUUCCUUACAUUCUCAAAAUACUGGUAAGCCGAUAGGGCUGCACCAUCUGGGCGAAGAACUGAGUCUCCUGGAUUUACAACCACCUGAAAAGCGCAAAACCUGAGAAAAUAAACUGGUGCAGUCUAAAAAAAAGAACAAGAUAUAGCUUAAUAUUCAAUUGAGGAAAAUCAUAGAAGCCAGAGAUUUCAAUAUCUUUGUCGAAGUAGACUCACCUUUGGCACUGCACCAGGGUGAACCUUGUUGAGUGCAUUGCAAAGAAUCAACCCAUUUCUCAAUCCAAGCCUGAAUUCUUCCUCUGAAGGUUGGUCUGGCAAAUCCUUUGCAAGGACUACACCAACCACCUUUCUCAGCCACCCAGCUGCCUCAUACCUUCUUGUGGCUGGAAAAUAUAAAUCAAUGAAUUAAACGAAAAAUUUAAAAAGGAACAGAAAGAACUAUUUAUUCAUCAGUUAAGACGCAAAAAUUAAAACCCGUCACGCAGGAAAUCAUGAGACAUGCUAUAUUUUGUAGCUUGAUCCAAAAGAGAAGAUAAUUUUCAACCAACCAGCAAAUAGAAAUUAAGACAUGAAUUUUGUUGAACAUUAUCAUGAUGUAGAGAAGAAGUAGCAGCACAAAAACAUAAAAUUUUGACAUGAGAAACAUAUACAAAAAAAUGAAACAAAAAAAAUCAAUUUCAAGAGCUAUCUUGAUCAGGAAAUUCCUUUAAAAAAAACCCAGACGCAGGGUGUCUUACUUGAAUCCAUAAAAGAAGAGAUCAUGAAAAGAAGCAGCGAACUUUCCAAUCCACUGUAGCAAAGCAAUGAACAGGAAAUAAACAAAUUCAAAGUCGACCAAAUCUAUUGUAUCUAGUUUGCAAAUUACUUCCUCCAUGGCUCGCAUUUUGCCUCCUAUCUUUCGAUAAAAUUGUAGAUCAUCUGACCAUCUCAAAGAAAAAAGGAGAAAAAAAAGUAGUAGAAUUUACACGUGUUAAAUCAACAAGAGAGAAAAAAAAAGAAAGAAAGAAAAGAAAAAUUAGAAGUAUCUUGAACAACAAAUUUCAUAAAGUACAAAGAUCUCGUUUUUAACGGAAAAUGAGCAGAAAAUCUUUCACUUCUACAUCGCAACACGGCAGUAAGAACAGAUUCAUGUACAUAUCAAAUCAACAAGAGCAUUAUUCCAUCCCAGGGAGAAUUAAAAAACAAUGAUCAAAAGCUCGAAAACCCACCAGCUUCCUCCGCCUUCCUCGAAGCCAAAUCCACGUCGCUCAGCCUCGUCCCGUGCUGCUUGAGAACAUCCUCCACCACAGAAGCCACCGAUAUCGAAAAUAGCCCCUCCGACGCCAUUGCCGACCCCAAAAAAACUGCGGGAACAAAAAAAAUCACAACAACAGAGCCUCCAGUGCUAAAUCAGGCAAAAAUCCCCGCUUUCCCUUCCAUUCUCAACAUAAAAAAAAGCUCAAAAGACCUCUAAUAAACAAACAAUAAAAACUCUCGAUACAAGGGAUUAGGAAUAGAAUUGAGAUUAGGAGGAGAGAAAAGGAGAGCUGAAGCCUCUUUUGGAGGGGUGGGUGAGAGGAUAAAGGGGACGAGAGGGCGAGGAGAGCUCUUUCCGCUGGCUCUUAAUAUUUUCUCUCACGAAGACAACUACUACUCUUCUACUGUAAAGCCCUUCUAGUUUCUCCCCCACCACCCCACUCCAGGCCUCGUUCCGAACCUCCCACCCGUGGGCCGAACGGUUUCUCUUUCUUUUUCUUUUUUUUAUUGGAUGAAUCAAACAGUUCUAAUAAGGACAUAUUCAAAAAAAAAAAAAUGAUGAUCGGUUUCUCUCCGGAGGAGGCGGUGAAGUGGUGGGAAAAAAAAAUAAAGACUGACGGAUUUUAACGUUUCGUCUUUCACCUCGUCGGCUUUUGAUUUGUGCCGUUAACAUGUCGAAUGACGGGCUUGCCCUCGCGGUCGAACUUUUCCCUCUGCAGCUGUCAUGCCACGUGGCAGAGAAGAUAGGUUUCUAGAAACAUUUUUCUUUCGUUUCGUUUGGAGUCUUGUGGUUCAAGGCAAUGUUGAUAGUUUGGAUCCUCUAUGAAACUGAAACUAAGGUCUAUUUGAUGAUCCAGUUUAUUUUUUAAUUUUUAAAAAAUAUUUUCUUUGUUUCCAAACAUUGUGAAAGCAAAAAAAAAUUCUGUUUUUUUAUUUUUAAAAAAUUAAAAUUAUUUAUGGUUAUUACUACCAUCUCAACCGACCCUCACUACCACUACCCAAUACAAGUAACUAGCAAACAAUUUUUGAAUUUUUAUUUUAAAUAUAAAUAAAUAAAAUUAUUUUUAAUUUAGGUUUUCUACAUGAUAUAAAUAUUAAAUUUUGUAUAAAUAAUCUUCCAAAAUUGAUAAUUUGCAUGUAUUCCCUCGUAAAACAAUUGUUUUGCUUUCUACUUUUUUUUUUAUUCUUAUUUUUGCAUACGUACUCACGCCAUCUAACGUCGUUAAAAAAUUAACGGUUUCAAUUAAAAUGAUUAAAAUAUCCUUAAUUGAUAGAUUGGUAAAAAGAAAUAUUUAUAAGGCAAUCGUGAUAGAGAAUAAAAAAGUAAUUUCUAAAUUUUAUUUUAUUUUUAAUUAAAAUAAAUAUAAUUUUUAUUAAUAGUGUUAGAAGAACCAUUAGAUUAGCGACAUUUGUGCAAAAACAAUGUUUUCUGAGGGUACAUAAAUAAAUAUAAAUUUUAAGACGGUAUUUAUGCAAAUUUGAAUUUUUAAAAGGGUAUUCAUGCGAAAAGUUUAGAACUAAAAAUUAAAAUGAUGUUAAACAUAAGCUUAAUCCCCGCUUCAAACUGCCUGCUAUAAGCACUAGGUUUUGAUUGGAUACUGAAAUGCUUUAAUAGACGACAGAUUUUCGAUACUUCUAUCUUUAGAGCAGAGCUGCGGGUAGCAUGGGAGGGCAUCUCCUACGCGAGGCGCGUUCUAGGUGUGGAGUGCAUCCACCUGGAGGGUGACUCGGCCCUGUGAUCGAGAGGGUCCGCGGUCGAUAGUGGGCAGUUCCUACUUCGUGACAUACGGUGGAUGGCUCGAGAGUGUGGCUACUUCAAGGCCACUCAUGUAUAUUGAGAGGCCAAUAUAGCGGCCAACUACGUGGCCUCCUACGCGGCACAUCACUCUGGAGCUUUUCUUUGGGUAGACCAGGUAGAUGUACCUUAUUUAUUUAGUCCGCUUUUUUCUUUUCUUUUCUGAUUUCAAUGGCUGUACUCAUAUAUGUAUAGUGUGAAGAGCCAGUAUACCAAAAAAAAAUGCUUUAACAAAGCUAUUUUUUAAAUUCCAAAAACUCUGGUAUAUAUAAAGCGGUUUGAAAUGGAAACAUGUAGUAUUUUCCUUAACCCAACUAAACUUGAUAGUAGUAAUUACUUCACUAUACUUCUAAUUCACUAAUAUAGUAUAGCUACACUUGUUGAAAAUUCAUAGAAUUUGAGUGCAUGCUUGAUUAUAAUAGACCGAUAUGAAUUGGAUGAGAAUGAAAACCCUCAAUUUUUAAUAAUAUUUAUUGCAUAUAAGUUAGGACAACUUUAUUUCUUUUAAAUGGUAAGAGAACUCCAUAUAGAUCAUUUUGGCCUAUGAAAUCUAUCGUGAAUCCAAGGAUGUAGAUGAUUUGUUGCCUUAAUAUACAUCAAAGGAUUCAAAGUCUACUAAUUACGUCACAUGCAAAGCUUGUAAAAUCUCACUAAAUAUAUCAAGCAAGCAUCGAUACAAGUAGCAAUAGCAAAAUUGUUUGAGUUAUUACCUCUUAUUUGCCUUUGUUUUUUGGCACCUUAUGGUUGUGCAUUACACAAAGACAAGCAUUCCUGCGUUUGGGCAUGUGAAGUUUCAAUGCAUCCACAUUAGAGGACUUAUAAAUUAGGAUAAAGUUCAAUAUAUUAUGCAUCCAUGGCAGAUAUAGUGUUAAAAAAUAAUGUUUAAUUAAAGGAAAUAAAUUUGAUCGAAUGAAAGCAAAAUCAACAAAUUUGACAAUCUUAAAGAUAAGCUAGCAGCACAAGAUACUGAAACUAGAAGGUCAUGAUUCAAUUGUAGGAUAGCCAACUCUGCACUAAAUGGGACACAUUGGUUAGGACUCAAUACAGUAAUUGGAAAUAAUCUCUCUCGCAUUUAAGACGGGGGCAUAUAGCAAUUUAGCUGAGCUAUGAUGUAUCUCUUAAACUCUUUUUUUUCAUAAGUGAAAGGUACAUUUAAUAGGAAUACCUAAACAACUAGUAUCUAUAUGCACCAAAAAAACAACAAAUAUUUGCUUGGCUGAAUUCAUGGGAACAAGACCCUGAGAGGAGGAAAAAAAAGGAAAAAGGAAAGGAUUUUCUAUGCCCCAAGCCAGCAGUGCAUGGAAAUUUCCUGAUAUGACAUUUGGGUAUCCUGCUUUUUCUAGAGCUUUCUGCUAAUUUCACCUGUUGGAUCAUAUGUGGGUGAGCUAAAUGAUGCUGCUUCCCUGUCCUUAGAACAAUUUCCUGAAAGUAAGGAAGUUGUUGCUUGGUUGCAAUCUCAUCUAUCAGAAUUAGGUACUUGUUUCCUUAAUAAAAAAAUUAAGUACCUGUUUAAGUUGAUAAAUAAACUUAUAUAGGCUUAUCCUCCUAAGACUUAAUUAUAUGAAAAAUGAUAAAUUAUGUUGAUUCCAUUACAUGUUAANNNNNNNNNNNNNNNNNNNNNNNNNNNNNNNNNNCUUGUCAGGUAGAGGACAAGCUUCCAUUCUUUGGAUUCAGACCCAAGCAGUCUUCUCCUGCUUCUCUUGUUAAUUAUGAGAAGCAUAAGAAGGAUCUUCCACUGGUUGCAGGUAUUCAAGUUCACUCCUCCCUCUUAGCUUUUCAACUUCAAUAUCCUUCCUUUUAUUCUGAAGAAAAUUCAGUAUCAUUACUUUUUUUUUUGAGGAAAUCAACAUCUCUACUUCUUGAGUUACUGUUAACAAUGAUUAGAGUCUUUUCCUCGUGUACCUUUUACCCUCUCAUCCUUGGUGGUUGGCUGCAUCCCAAACAGUGCCCUUUCCUCUGACAACAUGACAUGCUUUUAUUUUGCUGUUAAUUAGGUUACUAGAAACACUACAGUCAAGAUGUCAAUACUAAAAUAUCCUGCUCAUAUCCUUGUGACAAGCUGAGAUUAGUGCAGUUCAUGAGGUUGCUGAUCAUGAUAUGCUACAUCAACAUUUUUUUAUGGAAAUAAAGUUGGCAUGAAAAUUGUGCAGGCAUGAAUGAAAUGUCAUAGUAUUUUUAUAAUUUUUUUAGCCAAUAAUUUGAUUCAUCUACAGCAUGAUUCUAGUUGUUAGACUAAGGUGAGCAAGAAACAUAAAGAAGAUAAAGUUUAUCGACCUUUGUUAAAAGAUAUAGAGACAAUAACUAUUAGCUUGGUUGGCAUCCUUCUCCUAAGAUCUUCUUCUUAAGAAGGUUCAGGAUGGCGCAUUACCACUCAAUUGCUAUAGAAAAAGAGAAAGGAGAUGAUGAUGCAAAUAAUGGUGUCUUUAAAUAAUUCCAAGAUCGAUGAUAUUUUUGUUAUGUUAUUUUUGUAGAUCCAUAAUUUAGAAGAUAUUUGGACCAGAUAAUUGUCGUUCAAUCGAAUGUCCAGCUAGUGGUUUAAUCAGAUUCUCCACAAACUGCCCCAUAUCAUUUUAGUACUUCUCUAAACUAUCAAAGGUUCAAAAGUUUCAAUCAGUGAAAAAAAAAAACUGAAGCUGGCUAUAUCUUUCUUGAGAAAAAGGAGAGAGACUCGCUCAUACCAUAAUCAUCUUGUCUAUAUUUUGUGAAAAAAAAAGAGGAUCCACUUAUAUUAUAAUUAUCCAUGUCUAUAUUUUUAAAAAUACCAUCAAAAAAUCAAAUGAAAAAUCCCUAGUUCCCAAACUUAAAGUUGUAAUCAUUAGGACAAGCCCAGAUUCGAACUUAGGUGUGUUGACACUUGCUCUAUCGAAAGUUUAUAGGUUUAUUGAUUUCAUGUCACUAUAAGUCAUCUUUCCAAUUAGCCCUAUUUGACAUGAUAGUAUUUCUAUUGUUGCCUACAAACCCUUUUUUGGCUUCUUACUCAAACAUCAUAUAAAUUUAACUACUUUUAGUAAAAAUCUAAUGUAUCUAAUUUUUCCAUAAACAUCUCGGAUCACGAGCCAAAUGCAAAAGAUUUAUAUUCUAAUGGAAGUUUGUUUGAUCCCUAGGAAAAUGUUUAAGGGCAACAUGGGAUUGAGAACCCUAAACAAAUCGACCCCAAUGAGGCAGGGUUAUUAAUCCAUUCAAAGCCAUUGCCUAUGGUGGGCCGGCACCAAAGAACAUGUCCUUAACCUCUUAACGCAUUCAUCUAAGUGCUAACAUACUUUGUAAUUGUUGUUUGUUGUUAUGUCAUUUUCCAGUCUGUUUGCUUCUUUCUACCGAAAAGCAUUUGCUGGACCGGGACCUGGUUUCGAAGAAGUUGGUACCCUCUCUCCCUUAAAGGCACCAGGUUGCUUUUGGACCUUCUAAGGUGCAGUCCCAUUGGUGGUGUGAUCUAGGUACAUGGUUUGGAGGCUGUUCGAGCCCUGUGGUUAGGUAUAAUGUCCAUUGACCACAAGGUUGUAUGCCUAUGGUGGACUCAAUGUCUAGCUGAGACAUUUUGGAACCGACUUAAGCUGAUAAGAUGAAUUGACCAAUGAAAGCUCGCCACCUAGCCACGGGUUGACAAUUUAAAGCUUGCCACAUAGCCCACCCAAAAGACAUGCGGAGAGUUCUCUACAUUUCAAACUCUUUCCGCAGAUGACAACAACUCGGCCGUAUCGCUAGCUAUUUUCUAACAAAUGUGAUACUCGAGUAAAUCCCGCUAUCGAGAAAUACAGGAGAGAUUCACAUGCGAGAUAUGUGAUUUGUUACCUUAUCAAAUGACGUAUCUUCCUCAAAUUACUUAGCGAUGAGUUCUGGCCUUUGCCUAUAUAUUGCACUCCUGGGUUCUUUAGGUAAGUUUUCUUUCAAUUCUCUUGUGUUGCAUGUGCUUAUCUCAGGCUUCCUCCUGUUUUCUGAGAGUUGGUAUAUGACUUAGGCAUCGGAGAGUUACUCGUCGGACAUGCUCUGAUGGAUGAACUUUUUUAUUUUUGUUGUUUUAGGUUGGAGCCAACGUUAGAACGCUAUCUAAAGCCAUUCCUCUGCCUUCCAACUCCACCAGAUCAUCACCGUAGAGGCGUGUAACAGUCCUAUUCGAUCUCUCUAAUCCGAACCAUUUCAAGUUGGAGCCAGCAUUAGAGUGCUACCGAAGCCAUUCCUCCGCCAUCCAACUCUAUCAGAUCAUUGUCGUAGAGGUGUGUAACGAUCCUAUUCGAUCUCUUUGUUAUGGAUGGCAGACAAGCUGGAAACUUCAGCGACUGCCAUCAACUCGGUGCCUGGUUUGGAAUUGUUCCCAGCAGCUACAGGGGUUCUUUAUCAAAUCAAUAUAAUCAUUUAGAACAAAGAAAUCAUGGAUCAUCUAAUUAUUGGGCAGUUUAUGAUUAAUUGAAGACAAAAUUCACAUACAACAAAUAAUCAAUAUGAAGUCGAAGAUGGCUCCACUUUUACCGGAUAGGAAAUUAUUGUAGGGCAAUAGACCUCUUGAACUACCAACUUCCAUAAGUCAAUUAUUAAGCUAGAAUUAUUAGAUAAUAAUAUAAUAUUCUAGAAUGAGUUUGAAUGAUGAUCGAAUCUUAUAUGUGUACCCUAAUUUGGGAUGUGAAACUCAAGCUUAGCGGCAUGUCAAGUUCAUGAUAAAUUAGGGGAAAAGGAUUUUUCGCAUAUAUAUGUUCUUAAAUUAUAUAUAUAUAUAUAUAUAUAUAUCCUAUAUUUAUAUGGGUAUACAUGUAAAAAAGAUUAACUUAUAAGGAUAUAUAUGUAAAUAGUAAUUUUGUGAGAAUGUAUCUAUAAUUUCAAAUAUUUAUAAAGAUAUACUAUAAGGACCAGUGUGGGUGUGUGUUUAGUCCUACAUCGUUUAUUCGCCGGGAAGAUCUUAAGUAUUUAUAAUAAUACCUUCUGGCUAGCUAUUUUGGAUGAAGUCUUAGUUGUUACAAAUGGUAUCAAAGCAGAUCUGACCGAUGACUGAUAUAGAUUAAGGAGCACUGCAGCAUGGGCUGAUGGAGGCUGUCCACGGGCUGAUUGUAGUGCCUGUGAUUAGAUUUGAAUACAUGUAAACUCUUAGUCUGACGAGGACGUUAGGAUUUAAAUGGGGAAAUAUGUGAGAAACUAUAUGAGAGUGUGUUUAGUCCCAUAUUGUUUAUCCGUCAAAAAAUUUUGGGUACUUAUAAAUUACUUCUAAAUAGCUAUUUUGAAUGAGAUCAAAUUAUAUAAAAAAAUAUUUUUAAUAUAUAAAUUUUCUACGGAAGCAGUAUUAUUAGUAUCAGAUUCUGUCAUGCUCUCACUAUCAGAUCAGCCUGGUCAGCCUUAAAGAGUAGUUGCAGGUUGACAACCAAUGGAUUCAAAAACCCGCCCAUAGGCUAAUAUCAAGAGUGCCGCUUAGCUAAACUUCUAUUCGAUAUCUUAUACGGGCACGGGUACAAUUCGCUAGAAAAUGAUGAUUUUUUAAAAUAAUAUUUUUAAUAUUUCCUUUCAUCACAUCACUAAACCUGGUAACGAAGCGGCUCCUUGGCACGUUCACUUCAGAGACAAUCCCAAGAAGGCGCAGACCAUGCACGUGCCUACUGACGUCCCAACGUUCCGAAAAAAUUCAAACGGAGGCUCGGGGUCGGAACCAGAAAGGUUCGGGCUCGGCACCAGCGAGACUCGGGAGCUCCCGCUUUGAGUGGGUAGCUUCGAUUAAUCGAUGGGGGAAAAAAGAGAAAGUUCCAAGUGGGGCCCGAGAGGCGCGUCUUCGGGGGAUGGGCGGGGCCCACCUUCCUCGCGCCGGCCGGCCUGGGUGUAUCUUUCGCGCGACAGAAUGAUGGCCGUUGGAUCUCUCCCUGAACAGCUCUCAAAGCAGUCCGAACUCUUCAUCAGCGGCCAAAGCGCGAUCCAACGGUGGAUUUGCGCGAAGGAAGGUGAAUCCUUGUUUCGCGCGAAAGAUGCAACCCCUGUCCGGCCACGACAAAGGGAAAGGGCAAAGCCAAAGGCAGCCGGCCCCGCUCCCACCCGGCUUGUAAGGGGCGGGUCCUUCGCCGGAAGACUGGGUGGGACCCGCGGCCGAACACUAUGAACCCCCCGCCGAGCAAAGAUUUCUCUCAUGCGGCCUGCUGAUAGAAGACGGCAAUGCAUAUAAAAAACUCCAGAUAAAAUGAAACCCUUCUAAAGAGAGUAUAAGAAAUGAUGAGCGUACUGUACAAUUGUUUUGGUCACUUAUACAUGGAAUUUUUUCAAUAAGAAACUCUCAAUUUUUUUAGUUAUUUUAUGAAAUUUUUUUUGAAAUAAUUGGCUCGUACAACUUUAGAAUGGAUGUAUUAAGAUAAUCGGAAAAUGAAAUAUCCCAAAAGUGAAAUGAAAUAUCACCAUAAGUCUUCCUGCUGAUGUCUCCCGAAUGCUCAGUCAUAUAGAAAGCUACCCGGCUAGCCGCACCAUUCACCUCGCAAUAAGCAUGAAUCGCCUAGAAUUCAUCAAGGUUUUGAUAAUAUUUCAAAUGUCUCGGAGGAGUGGAUGGUCCCACCCAUAACCGGCCGGCCUAGCCACCCACCUGCAGCAUCUUUAAAAAAAUUUGAUUCAAGUGGUGUUUCCAAGCAAACUAUUUUGCUGUUAACCAACAGAGUAUUUUUAGCCAAAAUAUGAACACUCUUUUGAUGUCCCCAGCUUCACAUGCCAACCAAAGCACUAUAUUCUAAGUCAAAUUCAUUGCUGACCCUUUGUUGGAACAAAUCUCAACAAACUUAAUCACUAGGCAAGGAUUUGAACUAAAAAAAGAAGGAAACGCAAGUGUGAUUCAUAGGUGGACUAGCUAUUAAGAUGAUAUUUGAUAAUUAAAAAUUUCAAUAAUUUGCAGUCAGAUAUUUGUCUUUUUUUUAAAAAAAAUUCUAUAACCUUUAGUUUCUGCAUGAGGGUGUAACCAUUGAGGCGACACCUAAUACACAAAGUUA